rnacentral:lncRNA from 1 species
AAGUUUCUGCAUACCCAGGACACUGAAACUUUGGACAGUUUGUAUCUCGAGUUGGAAUCUUUUCUGUCAAUACGACUUGUUAAAAUAAGGGUUAUUAUCGUUUGAAUCCUUCCAGAAUUGCAAUAAAUCUAAAGUCCAUAAAAAAUAUGAUUCCAUCAUUUUACUAUUAUAUCUAGACAAAAUCCAUUAUUUUACUACAUUUCAUUAGCAACGAUAGUUGACCUGUUGGCUGACUGAUAAAAUAUCAAUUUUGCACUUUAUAUUAAUUCUUUUUUGGUUAACGAAUAACACACAAAGUAUUGCAAUAUUAUAAAUUCAAAAUAUAAAGUAGCUACAAAUAAUUCCUAUUAGCCUAUGAAUAUCAUAUUUGAUACCUCUAUUUGUGUAAUUUUUUUCCAACGGUGAAAUUGGUAUUUUUUUUGUACUAACAGAAAUGUAGUAAAAUGAUAAGUUUUGUAAAGAUAUAGUAGUAAAAUGAUAGACUAAAAUAAUACUUGUUGUUUGAUAUAUUGUAAUUCUUAAAGUAUUCAAUUGAUAAUAUCCCCUAAAAUAAAUGUUCGUAAUAUGUUCUCAUUUUAAUGCAACUGAUUGUUUAAUAAAAUUGUAUUUCUUUGUUAAUCUUUUAUCAUGUGCAUGCUCAGUGAGAAUUUGACUUACUAGAACACAAGUUUGACUCUUCAUUUAAAUGUCUCUUGUAUCAUAUCCUUCAGUGUUGAGUGUGUUUCCAAUAAAAUUGAGUAGGGGGAUCCUUAAAUACCGUUUCCUUUUUUCCAAGGGCCGUGCCAAAUUGCUCUAAGUGAUUAUCAAUGAAUAAUGAAAAUAAAAUUUUUAUUAAAGCAAUUUUUUCCUUAAAUGGUGACUAAUAGUACCCCUUUUUUUGGAAAAGAAAGUCAAAGCAUGCCCAAAGAAUCAUUUACUUUCCUCUAAUGUAUUUUCUAAUUCGUUUUGCGCCUUGAAUGUCCGUUUUGGUAUGUAUUCUCAUUCCAUGUCGAAUCUUAUCCAUAUGGACAACCCCAAUUACAAAAAAGUCUAAUGGAUCUAUUGAAGUUCAUAUGAGGUUUGUGCUUUAGAUUUAGACCUCUCUCUCUCUCUCUCUCCCCCCCUCCCUCUCCCUCUCCACUUACCUGUCUUUCACUUACCUGUUUGCAUGCAUGCCCAUGCACAUACUUGCAAGAUAAUACACGGUCACUCGUACUUGUGUUUUGGUUGAGCUACUGGCUGCUAACCCCCUGUAAUUCAGUUUGAAACUUGCCACCCUUGUGCUUCACUCAAAUGGUUGGUUAGGGUGAGAUCUGUAUUGUUUUCCUGGUCUCUUUCCAAGGUUAUCUAAAGGGAUUUGGCAGUCUGAUUCUUUAGGGAAUAUCAUUGCAUAAGAUAUCUAUUGUUUGUCAAUGAAUAAUUUCUAUUAACUAGUUAUCUAUAUAAAUUGGUAAAUUUUAACUGCAUAAUUUGCAUGCAAUAAGAUUUUAUAAGAAUCUUGUUUUCAACUCAUGACUUAGACUAAUGUGAUAUGUUGAGCAUUAAGCUACAAGAUCUGCACAUCAAAGUGCUUCAUGAUGGUAAGGAGAAAGCAUCUUUUUCUGCUUCUUCAUGUGAUUUAAAGUUUCCAAGGCACUUAUCCUAUAAAAUAUCUUUCAAGACUUUGGAAAUGCUUUUAUGUAUGACUGAGAGAAACUUGUUGGGUUGGUUUUUAGCAACAGACAGAGUUAUGGACUUUGUGUUGACUUGUUAUUGAUUAAGACAGUACAUCGGCUGAUCUAUUGGCAUCAAGCAGCAGAUGCAGAAAUUAUGGGUGGCAUAUCAUUGUAUCCAAAUAACGUACUACAUUGAUUUUUCUGACUUUCUGUUGGUCUCCGAGUGAAAUGCAGGCAUUUGCAGAUGAACUGGGGAUUCCUUUCCUGGAGACGAGUGCCAAAGAUGCAAUCAAUGUGGAGCAGGCUUUCUUGACUAUGGCUGGCGAGAUUAAGAAAAAGUAAAAUCACUUAACUCUUUCCUUCUCGCCUUAUGAUUGAUUCUGUGAUCCAUUGCCUAUUUGCAAAUGGUGAUUGUUGAAUUAUGCUGACUGUUCUUAUUCAACAAUCACCAUUAUUGCUGGUUAUAUGCAUUGUGAUGAAAAUUCUGCAAUGAGUAACUUUUUACCUAAUGUUUUCUGUUGGAACAAAUUACUCUGGUAGAAAAGCCCUACAGGGUUUGAGAAAUCCCAUGAUGUGACGAUUGUGAGCAUUUUAGACACCGUGUAUGGAUUUAUUUAUGACUAUAAAAUGUUAAGAUUGUUUCUAGUUGUGGUUUGUAGUGUAUAAAAGGAUUCAAAAUUUGACAUCUGUCUAAAUCAGAUUAAUAACAUGAUAAUGUACAUAUGCAAGAUGUGAGGAAUUGUUUUAUCUCACCCCUAAACUUUAAGAAAUUGAAACAUUAUCAUUCAAAAUAUUUAACAUUUCCAGAAUUGAUAGUUGUCUAUUUGAGCAGUGACUGGUGGUUAUCAUGAACUGAUGUGUGGUUGUGGUGUCAAAUCUUGGUGAAACCUGUUGUCCUAUGCCUGAUUAACAUAGCUAGUCUCUGAAAUAAUUUGUUGAUUCACUAAUUAUGAGUUCAAAUUUGAUGCAGAAUGGGCAACCAGCCUGCUGCAAACAAAUCUUCUGGAACAGUUCAGAUGAAGGGACAGCCAAUCCAGCAAAACAGCAACUGCUGUGGUUAGCCGAGCAUGUUAUUUUACUACUACAUGUUAGCUGACUGAUUGUAGACAGUUUUAACUAUGUUGACUGCAUUAUCUUAUGAAUCUUUUAAUCUGGCAAAUAUUUAUUUCCUGCUUUAAGUUCUUUCCCGUUUAUGACAAAUUUAAUUUCUUGCUCCAUUGCAUUCCAAAUUCCUGUCAAUUUAGGAGGGAAAAAGAAAAGAGAGACGAAAUGGGAGAAAAUGGUCAAAUUUGUUGGGGGAGAGCUGUUCAAGUAGUUUUUGUUCUCGUUUAUUGUCGUGACUAGAGCUGGUAAAAUUUGACACGACCCGAUUACCCGACACGAACACGACAUAAAUAAAUGGGUAUGGGUCGUCAAAUUUAACACGAUUAUUAAAUGGGUUGGGUCCGAGUCAACACGAUUUUUUUCGGUGUUGGGUUUGGGUUAAAAUUCUUGACUCAUUUACCCGAUCAAUGAUCUGAUUAUAUUUUUUAUUUUAAAAUAAUUUACAUAUUCUUAUCAUUAAAACUCAAAUAUUAGAGAUUUUUUUUUAUUCUUUAAAAGGGUGAAUUUAAAUACAGUGUUUUAUUUAUAAAAUUCUAAAUACAUUUAGAGCUUCAAUAGUGUAAAUGUGUAAAAAUUAAUAGACAUGUAUAUUUUAUAAUAUUGAUAUAUAAUAUUAUAUAUAUAAUUAAAACCUCAAUAGUGUAAAUGUGUAAUAUAUUGGUAGAUAUGUAUAUUUUAUAAUAUCGAUAAAUUAUUUAUGUAUGUAUGUACAUACGUAUGUAUGAUAGUGUGUAAAUAUUUGAUAUAACUUUUAUUCAAUAUAUAGAUAUUAAACGGGUUAUUGGGUAACUCGAUUAUUUUUUCGUGUCGGGUUUGAGUCUCAAUAUUUUGACACGAUUAUUAAAUGAGUUGGGUUUGAGUUGACUUAAAUUUAACACGACACGAACACGAUCCGAUGACUCAUUUUGCCAGCUUUAGUCGUGACCCUCUUGUCGCUUAUCUAGGACCUGGAAGUUCGGUCAUAUCGGAUGGUUAAAGUUACCGAAACGACAUCAUUUUGGGUGAAAUAUCAUAUUUAUGUAACACUUUUGAUAAUAUUUUUAUGCAACAAAAAAAUGUUCGUGGUACCCCUUUCAAUUUUUAUUUGUUAUGGAAUUUGGAGGUAGUGUACAUGUAUGAAGAUGACGUAAUAAAAUUGUUUUGAUAAGGUCGGUUUACUUCACUAACCAUUAAUGCGCAAAGCCACCUAAUGACCCUAAAAAAUCCCAUACAUAAUUAAAGAAUUUCAAUUUUAUAUGUACAAAAAUAAAUGACUCAAAUAUAUUAUUUGAUAAUUUCAAAAACAAUAAUUUACUCUAAUAAAUCUCGUAGCAAAUAUAUGGUUUGUAUUGCAAGUCUUUUCGAGACUAAUUCAAAGAGAAAUUACGAAGAACAUAUAAUUGACCUUUAUCUAUCAUAAAGAAUUCUAAAUAAAUUCAUAUACGCAUCGUAGUUAAUUACAGUCUUGAUAUUUCAUUUGGAUUUUGUUAAUUUUCUGUACAGUUGUGCUGUGCGUACAAGUUUUGUUUAAUGAAAUCGGUAGGUGAAGAGAAUAUUUAGAAUCAUACAUCAAAGUAAUGAUCAAUAUAAAUAUUGAAUGUCUCAAGUUAGAUUAUACAAAGAUGAAAUAAUGCUAAUAUAGUAAAUUCAAUCAUAAUAAUUUGACUUCCAUUAUAUUAAUUAUGUCCAAUCGUGCUACUUUAAUAAAGAACCCUCGAGCAUUUAUAUGUAUACAACAAACAAAAUUAAUUACAGAACGAUCUUUUACAAAGUCUGACCGGUUAACUAUCCAUCAAAUUCUGUAAUGUGUUACUGUUGAACUCUCAUGUCAAAUAUGGAUAAACAGCGCUUUGGCUAACAAUGAGAUAUAUGCGAGCAUAAGAGCUCCGUUCUCUGUUUUAAUUGCGUUUCUCUUUGUGGUUGUCGGACAAACUAUAAUGUGAAUUUCUAUCUAAUGGGUGUCCUAAUGCUUUUAGUUAGUGUGGGAUUGUUGAUUUAUAUAUGACCUUCAGUAUCCAAAAUUUAGAUGAUGAUAACCUUUAGUACUUUUAUCAUAUUUCCUUUCGUGUUGGUGUUAGUAUCUUAAUUUUGUGCCCAAUGGUAAUUACAAUAUAUACCUAAUUUGAAACUUCUAUAAUUUUACAUAUAUAGAUGCAAAUUCAUUUUUAAGAGUGCAUUUAAUCAAGCAGUCCAGGCGUUUAUACUGAGUAAUUGGUUCAAUAUUAAUACAAAACUAUUUUAAGUAACAUGUGGCAUAUUCUAAUUCCAGUGAGCUUCCAACUCAUAUUCCCAAUUCAAAAGAAAAGUUUUCAAUUUUCUCCAGAACGUUCUACAAAACGUUUCUUCUAGUCUCUACACUGCUAGAAUUUUCUCUAAGUUUCUUUUGCAAAGACUUUUAAAGAACUAUCCAGAUACCGAGCUAUAAUCCAGUCUAAGCGUAUAUCUCUCUCACUAUUUCACCUCCUUCAAUUUCACCAUAUCAACAAACACUUAGCCUCGAAACAAACACUCUCAAAAAGCUAGCUUAGCUACCCAGAUGGUGAAAUCAAGAAUUCUUGCAAUUACAAUGUCGUUUCUUGUUAUGGCAACAACAUUGAUGAUCAUGGCAUCACAAGCAAACGCUCUGAUGCCGUACACACGAUCACCUUUCUUUGACAUGAUGUCUGCAAUUACAGAAGAUCCUUUCAGGGUUCUUGAACAAACCCCUCACAAUCCCCAAAAGGAGCUGAUCAUCAUCAAACUCUAGCCCUGGCGAGAGCAAACUGGAUGGAGCACCAACAGCACACGUGAUCGCGCUCGACAUUCCAGUGAUGAAGAAAGAUGAAGUGAAGAUUGAAGUUGAAGAGAACAGGGUACUGAGAGUGAGUGGGGAGAAGAAGAGUGAUGAUUAUUAUAAGGAGGGAGUUGAAGGAGAGAAAUGGCACAGAGUUGAGAGAACAUUUGGCAAGUUUUGGAGGCAGUUCAGGAUGCCUAUGAGUGCUAACUUGGAACAUGUUAAGGCUCAUUUGGAAAAUGGUGCUCUGAGGAUCAAAGUGCCAGAGCUUGCUGAGGAGAAGAGGAGGCAGCCUAAGGUUAUUAGCAUCAAUGAAGAACCUGCAGGUAAUUCUUCCGGUGAAGAUAUUAAGGCCACCAAGGCCCAAAUGUGAUUGAUUAAAGAAAGAAGUGCUUGCUUCGCGCUAUUUGUUUAUGAUCUUUUCUUAGUUUUGUUGUGGGAUGUUUCUCUCUGGACAUUAUGUUUAUUGUAUUUUGAUGGGUUUUUUAAGAUGACUUGCAUGUAUUAACAAUAAUAAAGUGUUUUUUUUUUAUUUUUAUAAAUCAGUGUCCUAAGUUUGUAAAAGAAAUUAAUACGCUUGGUUUAUUGUUAAUAAAACAUAAAAAAUAAAAAGUCUUUUUCUUUGGCGUAUAUUAUGCAUUUUAUGACACUGUCAUAUUAAUGCGUCAAUUUUGAUGAAUCCAAAUAUUCAAAAUUAUAUUUAUAAAUAUUAAUAGUGAUGGCACAUAAACAAUUAAUUCAAGAACUCGCCCAAAAUGCAUUAAUUUAAAGAGUAUAAAUAACAUUACAAUACAGUCUAGCCCUUACGUGUUUAAUUAGCAAUUAAAAACUACUUUAUAUUGUAAAACACCAUUAAAAGAAUAUUUGUCAAAGUCUGAUGAAGAGAAUAUACACGCACACGUAUAUAACCGUACAACAGAAGAAUAAAUAAAAGAAAAUAAAGUUUCAACAACUGAAUAAUGCAAACUCAUUUUUUUUAAAAGCAUUUUAUUGUUUAAUUAAAAAAUUCGAAAACCCAUUAUAUACAUGAUAAAGACUCACCGACGCCGAACCAUAUUAAUUUAAAUUAGUUUUCAACUGAGAUUUGAAUUUUAAAAUUACAUACACAAACACGCCCAAUUUUUUUAAAAAAAGUACUAAUAAUAAAAUAUUUCAACCGUCCUCUGUUUAGCCGCCAAAAACCGAUUUACCAUUUAUUACAACGAAAGGUGUACAUAGACGGAUAAAUAAUGCUAAUCUACCAAGUCCAAUCAUAAUAAUUUGAUUAUCAAUAUAUUAACCAUGUCCAAUCAUAAUAUUUAAUAAUCACCAAACUUACAAUUCGCAAGUUAGAUUAUACGUAUGAGAAUCUAGCAAGUCCAAUGAUAAUAAUUUGAUUUUUAUUAUAUUAACCGUGUCCAAUCAUACUAUUUUAAUAAAGAUCACUCGAAUAUUUAUUUAUCCAACGGGUAAAAUUUCAAAACAAUUUUUGCCAAAGUCCUCCUUGGCUAAUUAAUUCAUACAUUAAUACAGUUCUCUGCUGAAUAAUGCAAACCCGCUACGUUAUUCUACCAUUUCUUUUUAAAGCAUUCCACCAUUUAAUAAAAAAAAUUCGAAAACCCAUUAUAUACAAUACAAAAAGCCCACCGACACCAAACCAUAUUAAUUUAAAAUAGUUUUCAAUCGAGAUUUGAAUUUUAAAAUUACAUACACAAACACACCCGAUUUAAAAAAAUAAUAAUAAUGCUAACAAUAAAAUAUUUCAGUCGUCCUCUAAUCAAUCAUAAAAAUCCAUCCACCAUCUAUUAGAACACAAGGUAUAUGGGUUAACAAGUCCCAAUAUUGUCCUCCAUCCUUUCUGCACUUCUCUGUUAUCAACGGACAACUCCAGAUGUAUAAUUGCAAAAGUGAGGAAGGCAGGCCCUUCUUCGGAAAGUAUUUGAGCUUGGGACAACCCGAGAGUGUCAAUGAAGUGAGGUUUUGAAGAUCAACAAUUGAAGAAGAUAGGCGUUCCAGAUUUGGAAAAUUAGAAAUCUCCAGAGAUGUUAGAGAGGCAGGAAGAGGAAAUGACACCGUGUCGUCAUCACAUCCUUCGAUAUGUAGACGUCGCAGAGAGGAGAAUCUGUGAAAUCCCCGUCCCCGCUCAAUCAUUGACUUCCAAAUCUCCAUAUUACCCCAAAUUUCAAGUGACUGAAGGUUGGUGGGAAGGCCAUCUUCUUCAAGGCUUGGAAGCGCACCUCCUUUUCCUAUUGUUAAUUCUUGAAGAGAGCUCAGAUUGUGCAAUCCCUUGGGUAAGGCCUCUAGUCUCUUACAAUUAGAUAUCUCCAGCCACGUGAGUUUCGCACAAGGCAAUCCCCCUUCGGGAAAGGACACCAGAUUUCCACAUUCCUCUAUGCUAAUCCGUCGAAGCUGGCGGAGAUUAUGUAAACCACUCGGUAAAAUUUUGAGAUUUUCACAAUGAUAAAUGAAGAUAUCUUCAAGAGAUGUGUUGUUGUCCAACCUUUCUGCUAUUGACUCCAGCUUUGGACAAUCCCAAACAGAAAGGGACUUAAGAGACGGAGGUAGAUUGCCAACUUCAAGGGACUCAAGCGUGGCAGGUAACUCGUUUUUUGAAAAUAUACAUGUCAGAGAUCGACAAUCGUCAAUUGAUAAGUGCUCAAGAAUAGAUGACGUAUACCUACUGUUGCUGCUACUCUGGACGCCCUCUUCCACUGUCAAAGUCCUUAUAUUAUCGCAACACCAGAUCGUCAACUCCUUAAGGCUCGAUGGUAGCUGGACAGCAGCAAUAUAUGUCAACGAAUGGCAAUACGCAAUUAACAAGAUCUCGAGAGACGAAUUGGUGUCGCACAUCCAUGCCUCUGGUAACGAUUUCACUGCAUCACAAUACCCAAUCUCAAUUUUCUUCAACUUGGAAGGCAGAGCAACCUCAGGAAAGGAAACAAGGGAACUGCACUUGUAGAUUUUUAUCUCUCUCAAGGAACUGAGGCUGAACGAUGAUUGUGGCAGCUUCACAAGGCCUUCGCAUUCGCUCAAUCUUAGAUAUUCGAGUCUGCAUGACAACCCGCAGAGCUGCUGUUGUUGGUCUUUCUCUUCCUCCGCGACCAAGGAUUGAAUUUUGGGACAGCUGUCAAUCCUCAGUCUUUUGAGAGAGCAAAUGUCUUGCAGUAAUUCGUUAUGGCUCUUCCAUAUACAUGUUUCAUUUUGAAUAUUAUUUAUCUCCAAUUCUUCCAGUUUUGGUAUUCGCGGCUUCAAUGGCCCUGCGAGAAACACUUGAUUUGAUGUAUCUCUACAAACCACUGAAUUCUGUGAGCCGAGAUGAUCAGUUGCACUUCUCCACACAACCUUUUUACAUCCACCAAUUUCCAUUUUGCAAAGAGCUGGAAGACUCGUAACUGAAACUGACAAUUCUUCACAUCCUCGAAUAACAAGCAUCUCCAAUGCAGGAAGGUGCUCUGGAAAUGUUCCUUGCAGCUUAGAACAUCCUAAAAUGCAAAGCUCUCUCAAUUUAGGAAACCCUUCAACUCCCUGACUGGAUCCAUGAGGAAUCCACUCUUCCCAUUCUUGCAUGUCUUCAAAACGAAGAGUCUCCAAGCAUGGAAAAGGAAUUUGAGAGUCAUUCCCAUAGAACUCUGAACCCAAACUCUUUACUCUACUCAUUCCACGCACUGCAAGAUGCUUUAGAAAGGAUAGUUGCCCGACUGACGGCAAGGUAGUACACACGCCGCAAUCUUCAAAUUUAAGUGUCACUAAAUUUGAGAAUGAGGAAUCUCCUAACCAUGUUGGAAAUUUUGUACCUCCAUAGCCACUGAUACAAAAUUGUUCCAGAUUUUCAUGAGGUUUUAGCAUGCGAGGACAUCCUUUUCAGUUUCUGCCUCCCUUGAAGACAAACCAUUGGUACUCCGUGUCCAUCGAAACUUUAACACUUUAAGAUUCUUCUUUCCAUCCAACCGAGCCUCCUUUGCAUCACCAAUGUCUUUUACAUUCCCUAAAUUUGAAAUUUUAAGUGUCCCCUGAAGAUGUAUCAAUGACUUUAGCUCUCGUAACCCAGAACCAUUGUCUUUUCCCACAGCAAAAUUACUCAACGUCUGAAGACAAGUCAGCUUACCAAUUCCUACUGGCAUUUCCUCCAACGAAUCUGUAUUUGAAUUAUUGAGAUGAUGCAAUUUGAUGAGGUUUCCCGUGGCUGCACACAACUUCUUCAGUCGCCGACAGUCUUCCAACAGAAGGGUGUGCAAAUUGUAAAGCUUGCUGACUGAUUCAGGCAGAGUUUUAAUCUCAGUUCCAGACAGGUUAAGGUGCCUUAAAUACCUCAAAUCACCAACUGAAUCCGGCAGCUCGGAGAUGUGAUAUCCACGCAAAGAGAAGACCCUCAACCGUUGGAGUUUGAACAACUUAGGAAGAAUGCUAUGAGCCAAGUAUCCACGCGAACUAUUUGUCAACAUUACUGGUAAAAAAGUUCGCAAAUGUUGGAUAUCGUACAAGCCCUCAAACCUUUUAACGCCAUCACAUGCUCCACCAAUGUACGAUAGAUGACGAAGAUUUUUGGAAAAACUUUGUUGCUUGUUAACCUCUGAGGUAUACUCCAUUGUGAAGUACAUCUCCCCUGCAGCCCAAUGAGCAAGGUCGUUGACAAGGUCGUGCAUCACAAAUCGUGAUUUAUUGUUGCUUGAUUGCUGAAAAAAAGAUCUUGAACGUAGCUCUUGAAAGAACUUUCGACCUAGAUCUUCAUUAGGAUUCCCGCUCUCUUUGUGAUCCAAGAAACCCGAAGCACACCAUAAUAAAAUUAUCUCCUCCUCUUCAAAUUCAUAAUCCUUUGGAAACAAUGAGCAGUAUGCAAAGCAUUGUUUCAAAGGUGCCGAAAGAUAAUAGUAGCUCACUCUAAGCGCCGGUAUAAUGUCACAUCUCUCUUCUGGUAAAUCCCAUAUCUUGCAACUGAGCACACCUUCCCAAUCACUCCGGUCAAGUUUACCACGCAAGAGACCACCAAGAGUUUUCGCAGCUAAGGGCAAGCCGUUGCAUUUGAUCACUAUCUUCUUGCCAAUUUCCUCCAAUGACUUGUUUGAACUGAAAUCUCUUGUCCCCAAAGAGUGUUGAGCGAACACAGACAGACAAUCAUCAUUUGACAGCUUUUUCAAAUGAUAAGCCCGAGCAGUCCCCAUGAUGGCUGCAACCUCUUGAUUACGAGCUGUGACAAUAAUCUUACUCCCCGGUGCGCCAGCUUCAAACGGACGGCUCAUGUCAACCCAGUCAUUGUAAUUCUCAUUCCAAACGUCGUCUAAAACAAGCAAAAAUUUCUUUUGAGAUAACUUCUUCUUCAGCUCCUCUUGAAGCAAAUUUAAAUCACUGUCAUCAGUAGUCUGCUUAGUAAUGGAUCUUAGAAUUGUUUUUGUUAGCCUGAUAACAUCAAAAUCAUCAGAGACACAAGUCCAUGCCUUGAGAUCAAAAUGACCCUGCACUCGAGCAUCAUUAUAGACAAGCUGAGCGAGAGUGGUUUUGCCCAGCCCGCCCAUGCCUAUAAUAGGAAUAACAGAGAAUUCACCAUCAUUUCUCAAAUCAUCCCUCAACAACAAUUCAACAAUUUCAUUCUUUUCUGUUUCCCUCCCAUAUACCUUGGCUUCAGUCACUAAAGAGGUUGUGGGUAGUCUUUGCCUGUCUUUUCUGGACCUCCCAGCUGAACUUACGUUCAAACCGAGCGAGUCUUUCUGUGUUACAAUAUCUUGAAAUCUGUCGUUGAUCUCUUUGAUUUUGGACAUUAUGGCGUAAUCGAACUGAAUCGAUUGUGGAGUAAAAGUGGUGCAGCAAGUAGGAAUGAGCUUCUGAAACUUACUUGUUCUUGUACGACUGCUACUGGGUUGAUCCUGAGCCGCAGCUGGAUCUCCAUUUCCAAGCAGCAACUUCCUCCGGAAAGCCUCAGUUUGAAACUCAUCCAGCAAGUCUUCAACAUCAAAAGCCAAGUUCUGAAGCUCAUCAAGCCACAACUUCACAGACUGAUCAGUCUUCUUCUCCUCAGCAUCAGCAAGCACCGCCUUGAUCAUCACCAACAUAUUCUUCCACUUCUUUAGGUCGGCUUGGAUUUGCUCUUGGCGUGCAAACAGCCGAAUCCCCUCUGAAGCUAACUUACUGACCAGCAAAUCAACGGACGCCGUAAGGAUUGCCUCUCCGAUGAAUGACAUUUUUUGUUCUUUUUCUUUUUUUUUGGUUUUGCAAAGAAAGAAAGGAGCAGAAUUAUGGGUUAUGGAAAGCAGAAUGAGAAAAUGGAACAGGUGAGAAAAUGGAUAAUUAAGCAGAAUGAGUUUGUGAUUGUGAAGGGUCUGGCCCAGCAAGCUUAGUAGAAAUCACGCGUUUAUACUUUAUUGACCAAUGACUAAUAAUUUGGCAAUUCACUCAUCACCACCACUUGGUAAGUCUUCUACUUAUAAAAGCAAGUUAGAAUAAACGAUUUUAAUCUCUCUUUUUAUUCCUAUAAAUCUUCGCUGUAGAAGUCUUCUACUUAUAAAAGCAAGUUAGAAUAAACGAUUUUAAUCUCUCUUUUUAUUCCUAUAAAUGUACUAUUUUUUUUUUAAUCUCAAUGCGAAGUCGUAUCAUAAUGUUAUAUUCCUGCUGGAAAACGAAAUUUUAGAUAAAACAAAUUCGACUCAUUUCUUAAAAAUAUAUAUUUAGUAGGUUACUAACAUAACUAACAAAACAUGAUUAUUACACUAAUAAAAGACAGUACUAUCACCAAUAAUUUAGCAAGUUUCGCAUAUACGUGUUUCUAGAAACAUUAUAUGGAAUCAAACAACAGUGAUGCAAAGAGCAAAGUGGAAAUCCUCUGAUUGUAUAAUAAUUUGCACCUUGAUAUUUGUAGGGUCCAGCAACAUUGACCCAGUGUGCGGGUACGUGCGGAAUAGAGGAAAAUGGAAUGCAUCCACUAUCCACUACGAACCUUCGCUUUACAAGUCUUCAAACUCAUAAACCAAGUUAAAUCAAAACGUUUAUCUCUCUCUCUCUUUUUGCCAUAUAAUUACUUUAUUUAUUGAAUUAAUUUCCAUGCUAAAAUGAACACUUAAAAGUGCACUAUAAUUUUUUAUAAUCACAAUGGUAAUUCCUACUAUCAUGUUAUUUUAAUGUCGCGUCAAAAUAAAUUAUAACAAAGUUUUUUUUCAUAUGAAUACUCUUUUCAUUUAUGAAUUUUUCAAUUUCUAAUAUUUUUCUCACUCUUUUAAUCUUAAUAUUUGUAUUCAUUUUGUUCAAACUUUUUUAUUAUUUAAUUUUUAAAGAAAAAUCUAAAAAAAGUAAGAAAAAUAUUAUACUUAGAAAAUAAUGAAUAUUUUAUGGAUCUAAUACAAUAAAGCACUUAUUUAUUUAUUUACAUGUUAUGUCAACGAAGCAAACUUGAAUAUUUUUGAAUGUUGUAAGCUUGUAAAGAAUCAAUAUAUUAUUUCUACAAAAGAAAAUAAUAUAUUAGAUAUUUAAAGCAUAAAAAAUAGAUGUUAAUUGAUGAAAUUUGAUUUAGGAAAGAUGGCUAAGAAAACAGUGGUGUAACAUCAUUUUAUUCAUGUCUAAAAAACCUAAACAUGACCUCUAUUUAUAAAUACACUUAUACCCUAUUAUUUGAGUUGUCAUUCUUUUAUAAUACUCCUUCACCAUUAGAUCAAACAAUCGAAUCCCUACUAUAGCUAAUUAACUUAUUGACCAGUAACUUAAAAGAUGCCAUAAGGAUUGCCUCUCUGAUGAUUGGCAUUUUUUUCUCUUUUUUUUUUUUUUUGGUGGGUGGGAAGAAAGAAACCGAAUUAUGAGUUUAUAGAAAUUAAAGCGAAUAAGAAAGUGAAUUACAGCAGAAUGAGUUUGUGAUUGUGAAAGGUCGAGCAAGUGUAGAAAUCAAGUAGGCAAAACCCACCACGAAAGUUAAAAAGGAAAAAUAGCGUCCACCACAAAUAUAAAUUUGGAGGAACUCAUGAUCAUUUAUUUGCUUUACAUAUUAAAUUAAAUAAAAGCCAAACCAAGAAUCUCACCUUUGCUUAACAUGAUUAAUUAGGCACUACUUCAGGAAUAAAACUUAAAACAGAAUCCUGAAACAUAUUUCCUUUCCAACUUUUGUCAAAUUGUAAGUCACUUAACGGGUACUAAAAUCAUGAAAAUCAAUCUGAGCAUGGCAAAAUAAGUGACUAUCAAAUCCUAAAAACUUAGAGCCUAAAAUCCACGAAUCAUAAAAGAUACAAUUCGACAAAGAGAUUAUAUUAGAAACCAAAUUAAAAUUCAACCUGAAAAGAAAUUAUAUGAAAUCACUUAUCAAUAGUUAUGGGAUUCAAUGCUGAACUGAAUUUUUAUUAAACAUUAAAUUAAUGUAAAUUAAUGACUGUUUGACAAAUUUGAAUGUUAUGCAAAAACUUAGCUCGGGAUUGGAUAUUUAUAUGGAGUUAAAAUUGUGGGUUUUGAUAAUUUCUUAGAUAUGGGAGUUACAGUAAGUUACCAAAUAUGGAUAGUUAUUAAGAAUAUAAAUGAAAUAAAAUAAAAAUAAGUGGUUACUUACUGUAUCAUCUAUCAAAAAAAAAAGAUAACUUGCAUCAACCGUUGUGGUAUUGACACCUAUCUUGAGCUAGUAAAAGUGGAAGUUUCCCAAUUGAAAGAAAGUGACGGGAAGAUGCUGUGGUGUUGAUACUUAUCUUGAGCUAGUAAAAGCGAAAGUUUCCCAAUUGAAACAAAGUGAAUGGAAGAUGCUAUGCUUUAAUUAUUAUUAUUAUUAUUGACGUGUUCGAGAAGUAAAACCAUGAAUGCGAUGAAGUAUAAAUCAGAAAGCUAUGGCCCGGAAUUCAUUUUCACAUUUCAAAAGUUUGAAGAGAGUUUAUCCAUUCUUCUAAACUAAGAAAAUCAAUAUUCUUGCUUUCUUCAAGCGUUGAAUAAAAAAAAAAUUAUUGAAUAAGGAGGAAAUUAGAAUGUAUCGCUAACCUAAAAUAAAUAAAAAAAAAUCUCUUUUAUUACUAAAGUACACUAUUUUUUUAAUAAUUGUAUUGACAAUGACAAUAUACAUCAUCGAUUAUAUUCUUGUUGUGUUGAAAUAAGAUAUAAAAAAUUUUGGAUCGAGGAAUUCGACUCAUUUAUUAAAGGUACAUAUUUAAUAUAGAGUAAUGAUAUAAUCAUAUACAAAUUUAUCUUGUACAAACUGAUGUGACAUAAUAAAAUUAGUUGAAUUAAAUAUCUCUUGAUUCAUAUAAUUUAUUUCUAUUAUUUUAUAUUUUCAUUCAACCAAUGAAUUAAUGACACAUCAGUUUGUAUAAGAUAAAUUUACAUAAAAAAUUAUGAAUGUCUCAUUAGGACACAUGGCUACCAACUAUUGGAUGUGUACGUUACAUUAAAUGUAACAUAGCAAGAUCCUUCUUUAAUAUACUAAAAACAAAAAUUAACAUAACACGAUUAUUACACUAAUGUGAAAUGAAAGCCAGUACUCACCAGUUCACCAACAGUAAUUUAGCAAACUUUGCAUUCUCGUGUUUGACAGUUUGAGGCAGUGGACAUUGGUGAAUUAACCAAAGGAAGACGUUCUUUUAUAAUUCGGGUAACGCCGGUCUGUCCUGGAAGAAGCUAAAGACACGACAGUGUUUUGGUAAGACUGGAAUUUUCUGGACCGUUAGAUUUCUUUAUCGUGUGUCCAUAGAUAGUGACAUUUAGUUGACUAUUUUGACAUCUACCAGCCCGUGGCGUUUUGUUUUCGUUCGCCUGGCGUUUUCAUCGCUCUAUCGUCUUCGAUCUUUUUAUGUAGGGAUGAUAAUGGAUUGGAUCUGAUCUAAGAUACACAUGAUUCAAAUGAAUCGGUUUAAAAUGAAUUUAGAUCGGAUUUGGAUAUCGAUGUGCAGAUUUGGAGCAUAUUUGAAUAUAUCUUAAUAUCUAAAUCCAUAUACAUAUCCACUCAUCUUUUAAUUUUAUUUUAUUUUAAAAUUUUCUUAAUAAUUAUGGAAUUAUAAUGGUAAUAAAUUUUAUUCAUAGCAUAUUAGUAGUAUUUACCAUGCAUUUAAACUCUUAAAACUUAAAUAUUAGUUUUGUAAAUUUAAAAGUCAGUCAGCCCCAAAGCACAUAUAUGCAAUAUUCAAAUUACAAGUCAAGUAAUAUAACCUGGUAAUUUAUUUUAUUAUAUUGGCCAAAUAAUUUUUAAGGAAUAUAGUUAUUCAUAUAUUUAAUCAAAUAUGGUCAUAAUAAAAAUAAUAAAAGAUUGAAUAUAAAUCAUAUUUAAUUUAUACGUCAUUAUCUAAUGUUGUAGAAAUGAUGGUAGGUGUAUCGCGGAUAUUAGAAUGAUGAAAGAGACAAUAGAAUAUUAGAUUGAUCUUGCUCCUGCAAUUACUUCUAAAUGAUAUUUUAUUAUCUUUCUUAUUUGUUGUUUUGGUGUCUUGGUGUCAAAGUAUAAGCUACAAUAUUUAUUAUAUUUUUGAGAAAAAUUAUAUAAUUUAUUUGUUAUCAAUACAUUUUAGCCUUCAAUUUUCAAUCUAAACAAUUAUUACUUUUUUAUUACUGAAUUUUAAAAUUCAUGACGGAUCUAGAGCAGAUUUAGAUUUUAAUUUUUUUUUCAGAUUUAGAGCAGAUAUAAAUAUUUAUUUCGUUUUUAGAUCUGAAUAUAAAGCGAAAAAUAUGAAUUCAUGACGGAUCUAGAGUAGAUAUGGAUCUUAAUUUUUAUUAUGAAUUUGGAUCUACUCUAUUUUAGAUCCAACCCAUAUCUAAAAUAGAGUAAAUUUAACCCAUAUAUGUCCGGUUACCAUCCCUAUCUUUCUGGCAACAUGGGUAUAUGUGUAUGGUAAACUGUGCUAGUGAAGAGUGUCGACAUGAUGCUGUCACCUUGCUUUAAUUAAUUGCGGUUUAUAAAAUAGAGUGCUGCUAUUCACCCCGAUUUUUAACCCCGAAACGCGCCCCGAAUUUAAAACGCACCGUUUUGAUAAAAUUGAAAACGGUGCGUUUAACCCAUGUUUCUUCCUUUCCUUUCUUUUGCCAAACCACGGAAACGGACCUUUGCUUCCUUUUCGUUUAAUCCUAUCAUCUUGUGGUCACUGCCGCUGCUACUUCCUUCAAGAUCGAGCUCUCUGCCACUGCAGCUUCAAAGCCGUCCGAUCAAUCGACGAUCCGACACCAGGGCCCAUCAACUGGCGCGUCUGCCUCAGCUUCUUCUUCGUCCUCUCCGGCGUACACGGAAGAGCAAAUCGCGAUCGUGAGACAGAUUAAGAAAAUGAAAGAUUAUUACGUGCGUUGAUGGCUCUGAUGGGUUUAAUUUACGUGCGUUGAUUCAGUUGUUGCCUGUGAUUUUGAUAAUUCUCUUGUAGUUUUUGCCGUCUUCUGAUCCAAUUUAUGCCUUGUCGAGGUCUUACCCUUAUGAGUACAAGUUUACAACGGAAAGAGGGGUGAAUUUUUAUGUGAAGUCUAGCAAAUUUGAGCAAGACUAUCCGUUGGGUAGUGUUCAGAGAGUGAGGCUGGAAAAGCAAGUUGAAAAGGAUUACUUUACUAUUCUUGCACAAAAUUGCCGGUUAGAGAUUCAGCGGCAAUAGUGGGGUUUUAUAAAGGAGACUCCCCAUUGUGACAUGUGGCAGAAGUUUCAGUAUUCACCAGCUUGGUAAAUCUGACAAUAAUUCUAUAGUAAUAUGCAUAAAGGUUGCUUGAUUGUGCUGCUAUGAUAUUCAUUAUUCAGAUAGGAGUAGCAACCGUGUUACUGAAAUCUGGUUCAAUGAAACAAGCUGAAGCAAAACUGAAGUAAUUUUCUCCCACAUUCAAUUAAUGCAUCUUCAAAUCUUUCAUAAAGUUGAUCCUCUCCUCAGUCUGCAAAGCGGAGUGUUGUGGUUCACGCUUGCGCAAAUAGAAGAAGAAAGAAAAUGUUCACGUGCUGCACAGGUGGAACUAAAUGGGAAAGCAAUCAAAGCAAAAAAGCAAAAAAGCAAAGAAGCAAUUAACGCAAAAGGAAAACAGUCAAAGCAAAAAGGAAAUCAAAGCAAAACGCACCGUUUUGACAAUAUUCGGGGCGCGGUUUCGGGGUUUAAAAUCGGGGUAAGUAGCUUUACUCUAUAAAAUACGCCUAAAAAAAAUGUUCACGUGUUUGCAGUUUCAGUCUGCAAAGCGGAGUGUUGUGGUUCACGCUUGCGCAAAUAGAAGAAGAAAGAAAAUGUUCACGUGCUGCACAAGUGGAACUAAAUGGGAAAGCAAUGUAGAAUUGAUUAUUGCUGUAUGUUGGGCGAUUUGGUACUCCAGAAACUGUUUUAUUUUUUAUGGCAAAGAAGAGAAUCCUUUUAUUUCAGUGGCACGAGCAGCAGCUAUUGUAGAGUCUUUCAAGAGGGUUAAAAUCUCAAAAGAUCAAGCAAUCUCAAGGCAUGGGCAAAUCAGUCAGCAAACAUGGACAGCUCCCCCAAAUGGCUGUUUUAAGGUGAAUGUGGACGCUGCAGUAAAAGUUUCAGAGCAAAAGGCAGGCUUGGGAGUAGUUAUAAGAAACUCCAGGGGAAGGGUUGUGGCAGUAGCAGUUCAAAAUGUUCCAUUUCGAGGCAUUGUAGCUAGUAUGGAAGCUGAAGCUGUUUUGUUUGGAAUUGAAACUGCUCAACAGGUGGCUUGUGUGCCAAUGGUCAUUGAGUCAGAUUCAAAGGAGGUGGUGGAUCUUUCAUUAAACAGAAAGGAAAGCAAGACAGAAAUAGAAUGGAUUAUUGCAGAAAUCCAGACAAAGCUUAGUGAUCCAGAGCCAAGCAUCAAUCCAAUUUGCUCCAAGGGGCUGUAAUAUAGCUGCUCAUUAUGUAGUAAAGAAAGCUUUAGAAGUUGAAAAUCAGUGUAUUUGGCUGGAAAAUUUCCCAGUUCAUGUUUCGUUGUUACUGUCAAAGUUCUGUUAAUGAAAAGCUUUACUUCCUUAUCAAAAAAAAAGAAAGGGGAAGCAAUCAAAGCAAAAAAUCAAAAAAGCAAAAAAGCAAAGAAGCAAUCAACGCAAAAGGAAAACAGUCAAAGCAAAAAAGAAAUCAAAGCAAAACGCACCAUUUUAAUAAUAUUCGGGGCGCAGUUUCGGGGUUUAAAAUCGGGGUAAGUAGCUUUUCCCUUAUACGAUAAAACUUAUCUUAAAAUUAGGCGACAAGAUUAUGAAAAGGAUAACUUAUAAGACUAUUAGUACAGAAACAGAGGAAAAAUAAUAUGCUGAAGCAGCGAUUUGCCUAUUUGAUUUUUUCGGAGAAGAUUGAUAUUUAAAUUUCAUUGUUGAUUCAACCAACCAUAAAUAAUUUAUCUUUUAUUCAACAAAUCAUAAUUAUAAACCAUCUUUUAUAUGAUUUUUUUUUUAAAAUUCCAAAGGAAAUGGUAUUUUGAAAUUGCGCAGUAUUUGAUUGAUAUUAUGUUUUAUAUUUUCCUAUCAACAAAAUUAUUGAUUUUGCAGGGAUCACAUUCAUGCUCCCACCUUUCUCACACAUGAGGCGUUAAUUAUUAUUUGAGUUUUGACUGGGGAAGUGGACGUCUCUUCUGAUUUGAAGAAUAUGGAAUCUACCCGUGCGGAAUUUUUUUUUUUCUCUCUCUCUUCUGAUUAGCAGAAUUCGCCAACGAAAAUGAUAUUUUAAUAUGUGCAUUUAUGGAUAAGUUUUCUUAUCUAAAUUCCUGCUGUACAUUGGAUAGAAUAAAUACAAACAAUCUUUUAUAUAUAAAAAAUUUUGAAAAUUCCAAAUGAAAAGAUAUUUUGAAAUUGCGCAGCUCUGGCCAGGGAUCACCUUUUUUCCUUGCUAUUAUUAUCUACAAUAUAUUUAUUUUUGCAAUCCGCAUGCAUGCUUGGUUAUGAUCACCCACGUGAUCGGUAUUACGUUUCUUCUGAUUUGAACAAUAUGGAAACUACCUGUGCAAGUUUUUUUUUUUUUUUUGGGCGAAUUUCAGUUGAAUGUCAUUUAUAAUUCUUAUUUCAAUAUAUUUAUAAAUAAGUUUAAUAAUAUUAAAUUUUCACUUAAGAAUGACCGGUGGGAGGGUUAAGCAGAUAUGCCUGAUUUGGGUGUUGGAAUAUUUAUAGUGGCCCAUGUGCCACAUUAUUGAAUUAGUAAUAAUUUAAAAUUUAAAUGAUAAAAUAAAUAAUAGGCCAAAAUCUUAUUGGUCAAUUGGGAAAAUCUAAUUGUCCACUUUGAUGGAAAGCGGAAAUAAGAAUUUUAUUGAAAUUGAUCAUCUCUUUAUAUAUAUAUAUAUAUAUAUAUAUAUAUAACGUUAAUUUUCCUCCGUCAAGAAAGUGAAUCACUCUAAAGGAGUCAAGAAAUAGAAAUUAAUUUUACUAAUAUUUAAAAUUUUACAGUGAGAUUUGAUCAAGAAAAUUGCUAUGGAUCAAAGUAUGUUUUCUCUCAAUGAUGAUGUGAAAAUCAUAAUAUUCUAUGAUCUUAAGCAUUGAAGUUUAUGAAAAUUAGGGUUUAUUUGUUUUAUAAGAGUUGUAAAAAUUCUCAACAAUUGGUAGCAGAACAUGGUUUAAGAAUUCAUGAUUUUCCAUUAAGAUCUGUAAUAACCCUUUCUUAAUUUUCAAUUAUCCUUGUGGGUACAUGUCAAUUUGGAUUAUUAUUCCACAUAUACAUAAUGUAUAAAGAACAUUACUGGCAUAGAAAUUUUUUGCACCAAAAAAAAUAAAAAAAUCCAAGAUGUUUUUGACUGUUGGCGGCACAAUACAGAAAGGUGAAAUUAGGUUAUCUUUUGGAGUUUUUCAUGAGACACCCUAAGGUUGUUUUGGUUUAUGUUUUUGGCCAAAGUUUAGAAUUUUGUUUCAUUUAAGUCCAAUUGAAUUUGCAACGGCCACCACAUGCUGUUUUUCGAGUCGAAAUUUAGGAACAAUUGCAUGUGAAAUUUCAGUUAGUCCCUGAUAUUCUAUUUUAUUACAUUAAAGAUAUGAUUAAUUGGAUUUAGUAUGAUAAAGCCGCCGACUUUAUGCGCAUCAAGCAUUAUAAGUUUUGUUCUCAUAAUUUUGAAUGCUUUCGCUCAUAAUUUUGAAUGCUUCCUCUAGCUUCCUUUCGUGAAACGUACUAACAAAUUAAGAAAUCAUCCAAUAUCUUUAGUACAAAUCCAAAUAGUCUCAUUUUGACUUUGAGCAAGCUUUUUAAUUCCACACUCAGAGAUAAAAUUUUGUGAAUUCACAUUAUUUAACAAAAUAAUUAACAAAUUAAUUGUGAUUAUGGUUGACGAUUGUUUGAGGGAUAUACUUCGACGAGGCCAACGGUGACAAGCAGAUACCUGGUAGCAGAAUGUACUUCGACGAAGACCAGCUGUGGUGAGCAGACAGCUGGUAGCAGGGUCUCGCGAGCAAGCAUAUACCGUAAGAAUCUGGCAGCAAGGGGAGCAGGAGCAGGGAUAUUCUGCUCAUCCACGAGGCCAAUCUCCUGCUGGAAGCAUAAAGUCAUUCCUGCUACAUUCCUGCUAAGGGUUGAGUCGAGGAGACCCGGUCAACGACAGUUGGCGAGGCGUGCUCUCCAGUCCGAGAAUCAAGGCACGAAGGCCACGCAACCACCCACGACUACGGAAAUGUGGCAUCCACUUUCAAGAGGUGGGAGGAUAACGAGCGCGAGUGGAGGCAAGGCCCGAAUCAGAAGUGGCCUAUAAAAAGGUAGCCAACGAAGGUAAAAGGGUUAGAAUUUUCGCUAUUUGAACUAAGAAAAGAGAACUCUAAGAAUUGAGAUUAUAGAAAAGUCAUAAGAUCCGUGGCAAGCGUUCCCAGAACCUUCACAUCUGACUUGAGCGUCGGAGGGUUUACGCCGGGAAAACAACCGGCGUGCUCUGACUCGUUUCUGUGAACGCAGGGAUACUUGGAGAAGAAAGCAUACGAGGAGAGAUCUUGAUCGAGGUGAAGUUGAUCGAGCAGAUAUCCUGGUCGUAGGACGGACAUAACCGGAAUCUCGCAUCAACAUUUUGGCGCCGUCUGUGGGGAGCUGAGCAAAAAGCUUCUGUUGAUAGCAAGAAGAGAAGGGAAGCAACUGAAAAGCAAUGGAGACAGGAGGAAGUAGUGCACAAGGGGGUGAUAUGAGGCUUAACGAUUCCGUGACGCUGAGGGAGAUAGCCAGUGAAGCACGGGAAAAAGCCAUGUUCGACCGGAUGGAACGGAUGGAAAAGCAGAUGGAGCCCUUGACAACCAUCCUGCAUGAUCUGCGGAGUGAACGAAGAGUAACCCAGGAGGAGAGGGUGAGAGGUGGUGGAGUGGCACUAGGUCCCGAUAGUGCGAGGAGAAGUCAAACCACCGGGAGAUUUGGUGGUGAGAGAGGUAACAUACCUCUACGGGGGGAAUUUCUUAGAGAGGAAGAGCAGUCCCCGGCAAGACAGAUUUUUGACGAAGACGACGGGGUGGCGAAUGCAGAGGAAACAAAGUUGAGGCAACACUUGCACGAUGUAGUGCAAGAGCGGGAUCAAGUUGCAGCACGUGACCCUGGUCGUGCAGUGCAGCUGGAGGAGGAAGUGCGUAGACUAGCGCAGAUAAUUGACGAUAUGCAAGGAAGGAGCAGAGCUCCUGGUUGGAGGAUAAUGCUGGACGGAGAAUCACCGCUUGCAGCAGAUAUCAUGAGGGCAGUUAUUCCGAGAGACUUCCGUCUCCCGGACCUUAGAUAUUCGGGACGAACUGAUCCGCUAGUGCACAUAGAACGCUUCAAUGACAUAACGGGGGUACAAGGAUUAUCUCAAUCCCAAAGGUGCAGGGUGUUCCCACUAUCCCUUGAGGGACGUGCACGAGAAUGGUACAGGAAACUUCCUCGGGGCAGCAUUAAAACCUUCGAGCAGAUAUGCCAGGAGUUUGCAGAGCAGUUUCGUGGAGCAAUGGCACCAGAAGAUGACAUGAUGGAGCUAAAAAGCAUGAAACAGGGGGAGCAAGAAACCCUUCGGGAAUUCAUCAAGAGGUUUCAUCGUGCUGUCCUCGACUUGGGAGCCUUCAACCACCCUCAGGCGUUAAGGGGAUUGAAAGAAGGGGUGAAGAUAGGAAGGCUGUGGUACAACUUGAGAAGCCCAGUUAUUCAGACGUAUGCGGCCGCAUACGAGCAGGCUAAGAGAGACAUUGAGAUUGAAGAGGAGAAGGCAGCACGGAUUAAGAUAGACCAGUUAGAAGGGUUGGGGAGGAAAGAGAAGAAGGCAUUACCGGGGAAUGGGCCGAUCAGGAGGAGGGACCACCAGGCCUCGGGUAGUGGAGCAAGAGGUUGGGUAACUGCUUACCAGUCUCAUCAGAGGCCACCACAGUAUCAGCGCAGCAGGGCGCAACCUCCUCGUUCCCCAGCUAGGGAGCCUUGGAGGAGGCAUGAUUCGGCAUAUGGUGGUCUUCAUCAACAUUCCCACGGUAGCAGAGGGAGCAGAUCAGAAGUACUGCCACCGCCCCCAACUCAGAACAGGGCAAACAGAGAAAGAGCAGUGCACCUGAUCGACCAAGACCAGGACUAUGGGCGGUAUACUUCCUUGAAGAUGUCCCUGGACGAGGUGUACGAGGCCAUAAAGGAUCGGGGGUUGCUAUACCUCCCUGCUCCAAUAACAAAGCUACCCAGCAGGAGGGAUAGGGGACGCUAUUGUAAGUUCCAUGGCACUCAUGGCCACACCACAGCAGACUGCAGAGAUCUUAAGACCCAGGUUGAAGAUUUGGUGAGAAAUCGGUAUCUGGACGAGUUUAUAGAAGGGACCUUCCCAAUGGUAGCCUCAACAAGUGAAGGAGAGCAGAGUGAUAGGAAUUUGAGGCGCGAGCAGCCUGCAGUAAGGGUUAUAGCUGGGGGCCCAACAUUGGCCGGAGAUUCCAACAGGUCGAGGAAUUUCAUUCAUUUGAAACUGUGAUAAAUUCUCUAAGGCAUGCAAAGGCUCGUCAAGUCUCAAAGCCUGUUUUAUGGCGAGACAGAAGCCAAGCGUGCCAGGAUCUGCUCGACCACGCGAAGGCGAGCAGAAUCCCCAAGCAUUGAAGAAUUUCUAAGGCAUGCAAAGGCUCGUCAAGUCUCAAAGCCUGUUUUAUGGCGAGACAGAAGCCAAGCGUGCCAGGAUCUGCUCGACCACGCGAAGGCGAGCAGAAUCCCCAAGCAUUGAAGAAUUUCCAAGGCAUGCAAAGGCUCGUCAAGUCUCAAAGCCUGUUUUAUGGCCAGACAGAUGCCAAGCGUGCCAGGAUCUGCUCGACCACGCAAAGGCGAGCAGAAUCUCAAGCAUUGAAAAUUUUCCUAGGCAUGUGACAAAACCACACGCCGAGCCAAAACCUGCUCAAACAAACGAAGACGAGCAGAGUCUCAAACAACUCAUGAUUACAACACAAGAAAGUAAUCAAAAACGUUUUUAUUAAUUUGUUAAUAAGUAACAGAGGAGAGAAUCUUCACAAACAUUAUUCAUUACAAUACAAGAAAUAUAUUAAGAGGACGGCGGAUCAGUAAGCCGAGCAGAUUCUGUUGGCUGGUCCACUUCAGGCGCAGGAGGGGUAUCACCAGCUGCAUCUGGGGGGGUACUCGCCUCACCAGCAUCAGCAGGGAUUACAUGGGGAGGAGAGUUUUCCUCCUCAAUCACAAUUGGCACCGUCUCCUCGGCAUCUUCCUUUGCAGCCUCCUCGUCCAUAUGUUGGGCGACACCAGCUGCAAGGUCGUCCAUCUUUAGAUUAGGAUGCUGCUUCCCGAGGACGGCCAUGAUGCAGCGAUAGGAAUGCCGAAGUCCCUGGUCGUACUGGUUGUCAGCCUCCUUCUCCAAGUUCUCGACCUGAACCCGAUGAGAAUCGCGGAGAGAUUCGAGCUGAGCCUCGUACAUAGCUUUCUGCCUUUGCAGAUCCUCCUUGACCUUAGUCAGCUCUUCCUCGAGAGUAAUGGCCUUUGCUUGAGCAAGAGAUUCCUGCUCUAUCAGCUUCAGAUUCUCGAGAUUCAAGUCUCCCGCUUUCUUCUCGGCAGCAUCGGCUCUGGUCGUCUCCGAUUGAAUGUCCUCCUUCAUCUUCCGGUCGUAACGGCCAACCUUGGCCUUGUAGUAGGUGGUCAUACAGCUGAGGUGGAAGGCGCUAUACUGCAUGGCCCCCACUAGCUCGCCCAGGGUGCAGCCAUCAAAGUCCUCCAGAUCCCUCUUACUCACGAGUUUAGAUAACUCAUUGAGAUAGGGGACCAUGUGUUCUGCUCAGCUGUCAGGUAAGCGAGACCGAGGCCCGACAGGAGGAGAAGAGGAAGCAGGAUCAGUGGCUGCCCCACUAGUUUCCCCGACUUUAGCAGGAGCAGGAGGUAAAGUCUUCAAGGGAGAGACCCGCUGCACGAUGUUGGCCCGCUUUGCAGUAGGGGCGUCCUUAUUCUGGUCCCUCUUUGUGGUUUGAGGUCGAGAACGUUUCCUGUUCAGGGCCCCAAUCACAGCAUCCUCCAUCUUAUGACCAGGGAGUAUCAAGCGAGACUCGAGCAAGUUGUAUGUAGUAAUCAGUUCCCGACUCGAGCAGGAAUUGGCUAGCACAGCCUCGACCCGUUUGAGCUGGUCAGGUUCGAGCGAGAAAUGAACACCCCAAGAAACUACAACACAAACAGACACUUGGUUAGAGACAAACAAAUAAAGCAAGAACAAUUAUGGAUACGAGACGUCUAAAGCGAGCAGGCAACCUGGGACCGUGAAACGGGGUGGGACGCGAUAAUCCUUCCCGUCUAUUUGCACAACUUGACCCCAAGGACCCCCAGCAAAAAAGAAUUUCCUCUUCCAAUUCCCACCACCACUAGUAGGGAGGUCGGUUAUGGGUUUCCUGGUCUUGGUACUAGAUUGGAAGUAGUACCAGCCUGCAUCUUUGGGGCUGUUCUUUAGCUGGUACAGGUGCAUCACCUCGUCAACUGUGGGCUCACUUUGGCAACAUCUGUCCCACAAUAUUAACAGACCAGAAAGCACUCUCCACCCGUUUGGGUUCAGCUGACCAAGAGAUAGAUUCAGCCCAGUAAGUAUCCGGGCAAAGUAAGGUUGCAAGGGACACCUCAGCCCAUACUUAAAGCUAUCCAGAUACAGGGUAACGUAUCCCCUAGGAGGCCGGCUAAGGAGUAUCUUUCUUUCCUGGGACCUUGAGAGGGAUUUCACCAGGGAUGCUAUACCUAAGCCGGAGGUCGUCGAGGUCAUCAAACGUGGUUGUGCACGUCAUGUAAUCAAUAGCGUAAUCCCGCGAUAGGGCUCUACCUCCUACUGUACUCCGCCCUCCUGGUCGCGAUGUUCCUGAUGGGGACACCUCACCAGAAUCACCUCCUCGAUCCUCGCUCAGGGUAUUUUCCGAGCCAGAAGAUCCCACAUCACCGCUACUUCCGCUCGAGGAGGUUGUUUGUGGGGACAUCUUCCUAGCGCUAGUACCAACACUAGAUCUAAUGGUUUCUAAGGGGAUCGCGGAAUCAAAAGCAGGAUCGGUGAGCAGACCAGGCAAGAAACGCAGCUCGUCGUCAUCAAUCUCAACGAUUUUCUCCUUACCCUUCGACAUUCCCUAAAGUUAUAACCUAAACACUACCACCAACUACUACCCCAAGCAAAAGCAAAGAGAAAAGAAAUUAUCUACGACUAACCGAGACCAAGAAAAUAGAAGAAAUACCUGAAGUAGGGACUCGGUCAGAGAGAGGCAGGGACGAAAGCUUUAAUGCCGAGGUUCAUUCGCCGGAGAGACAAGAAGGGAGAAAAUGACGAGUUCAAGUUUUGGGAUUUUGGGUUUUCUUACUGAGAAGCAAACCCUUGGGCUGCCAGCAUUUAAUGAUACAUAUUUCGAGAAACUUGCAACCGUAGGUUUAAAUUUCAAAAUGGAGGGGCAUAUUUCUGCCACAUCACCUCAUCCGCAAUUAAGUGCGACACGACUCCUGACAGCCUUUUCCAAUCCCACGCGAGCAAGUACUGUCAAGUUUCUACUGCUGGUCCACUACAUUACCCAACACCAGAAACUGGGGGACCGGUGUUUGAGGGAUAUACUUCGACGAGGCCAGCGGUGACAAGCAGAUACCUGGUAGCGGAAUGUACUUCGACGAAGACCAGCUGUGGUGAGCAGACAGCUGGUAGCAGGGUCUCGCGAGCAAGCAUAUACCGUAAGAAUCUGGCAGCAAGGGGAGCAGGAGCAGGGAUAUUCUGCUCAUCCACGAGGCCAAUCUCCUGCUGGAAGCAUAAAGUCAUUCCUGCUACAUUCCUGCUACAUUCCUGCUAAGGGUUGAGUCGAGGAGACCCGGUCAACGACAGUUGGCGAGGCGUGCUCUCCAGUCCGAGAAUCAAGGCACGAAGGCCACGCAACCACCCACGACUACGGAAAUGUGGCAUCCACUUUCAAGAGGUGGGAGGAUAACGAGCGCGAGUGGAGGCAAGGCCCGAAUCAGAAGUGGCCUAUAAAAAGGUAGCCAACGAAGGUAAAAGGGUUAGAAUUUUCGCUAUUUGAACUAAGAAAAGAGAACUCUAAGAAUUGAGAUUAUAGAAAAGUCAUAAGAUCCGUGGCAAGCGUUCCCAGAACCUUCACAUCUGACUUGAGCGUCGGAGGGUUUACGCCGGGAAAACAACCGGCGUGCUCUGACUCGUUUCUGUGAACGCAGGGAUACUUGGAGAAGAAAGCAUACGAGGAGAGAUCUUAAUCGAGGUGAAGUUGAUCGAGCAGAUAUCCUGGUCGUAGGACGGACAUAACCAAAAUCUCGCAUCAACAACGAUCAUGUUGAUAAGCAUCAUAAACAAAAUGAUUGUUGUAGAGGCUGAAAUUCCAAAAGUUUCGUUGCAUAUUUAGGGAAAUGUUGCAAGGACGAAGUAUCACUUGGCUGUAAGAAUUAGUUACCCAACAAUUUAUGGAGUUUGUUUUAGGUAAAAUAAAUAAUAGAGCAAAAUUAAGCCGACAUGGAUGUAUGUGUGUAUAUAUAGUCCUUCUCUAAUAUGGACACCUCUUGUUUUUUUUUUUUUUCUACAUAGACACACUAGUAAAAAAAAAAAAAAAACUCUUGUAUAGCUCAAGAGAUUUUAUAAGUUGAACUAAACCAAACAGAGACACUCACACAAUUGAUAAAUAAUGAUAACCCAUUAUUUUAUUUAAUUAAUAUAAUACAGAAAGAGUAACUUGCACUUAACCAGUGUAGUCGGAUUUCUUCCGUGUUGAUGGACAAUAAAGAGAUCCAGAUUGUCGUUUAUGCUCUCAUCAUUAACAAUACUGAUAAGAGAUAUUGGAUAACCCUUAGACCACUCAACCUUCCCUAAAAAUUCACAACAACAAUUGUAUUCAUUAAUACAUAUAUUAAAAUAAAAAUUAGAGAUAUAUAGAAGGAUAAAAUUAAUUUUUGUGAUUCUUGUUGCCUUAAUCUGCUCUUCACUUUCAAAAUGGGGCCUGUAUGUACGGUUUAAUACGUUCAUAUAUUAUGACAUAGAAUGUCAAAAACACCCCCUUAGAAUUCUGGGAGUUAAAGUUUACCCUUUUCCGACUAAUCCUCCGGCUGAUAAUACUUGUGUCUCAAUUAAUUAAUUAAUUAAUCGGGGAUCAGCCGCCAUAAAAGAUGACUAAACUAUCUCAUUAAUUCCCAUGAUCCCUAGUUUGGUUGUUUGCGUGUCUCGUGCGUAUGGCUAAUGAAUGCUUUUAACAAAAUGAAAAUUUUCUGUAGUGCUCACUCCUAAUCUUAAUUUAUUUCCAAUUGCCACAUUAAGAUUGUGGGUUCUAGCGCUUGGAUUCACUUAUUAAUCUUCCACCAAUAUUAAGUUAUUGUCAUGUCUUGUCUAUAAUCUGUAAUUGAGGUAAUGUAAAGUUGUAAACUAGCGGGUUGUAACGUAUAUUGGUAUUUUUUAAAUUCAUAUCCAUAGGGGAGUUUUUUUUUUUUUUUUUUUUUUUUUUUUUUUUUUUCUAAUGAGAGCAUUCACAGUUUGUUAAAAUGAGGAUGUUAUUAAAAUAAAAUUAAAAAAUAAAUAUUUUUAUUUUUAAUUAAAAAAUAUUUUGCGUUACAUAAUAUGGUAUUUAGAUAAGCACAAAAUUAAUACUCAUGUUGUUUUUUUUCUUUUAAUCUAGUUAAUGGAUGAGAUAUUAAUUAUCUUAUUAGGUAAUUUUUCGGAUAGUUUUAAUUUACCUUUAUGGUUUGGGAGAGACUCCUCCAACCGUUUUUAGAAAAGCGACGAAUGCCGGUAAAACUAAGGGGUAGUUAAGAAUAUGGAGAUAAAUAAUCUGUUGAUUAUGGUAGAAAAGGUCUAUUUUUCGGCUAUUUUAAACGAAUUUUAUGACAACAUUAGCCCCUAAAUAGUUGCUAUUGACAAAAUGACAUUCAACUGAACAUGGCCUGAGAACCUGGAUAAGGAGCUUCCAUGUUCUUCAAAUUAGAAAAGAUAUCUUCUAACUUCUGGUGAACCUUAAUCGAAACUGAAGUUGCUUUUGUUUCUGGUUUGAUAAUAUGCUGCUAAUGUAUUUAUGUACGAGUCUUCUUAUAGUACAGUGUUGUAUGCAAUACAGCCCAUUCAACAGUAAAAAGGAAACUUGAAAUUAAAAAUUAUUUUUAAUGUAGAAAAAAUAAAAUAAAACUGAAAAAAUUCAGGAAAUUUUGUAAAUAUUUAACACAAACAAUAUUCGAGUGAAAAAAAUAUUUUUAAUUUCAACAAAAGUUAAAAAAAAAUUAAAAUAAGCAUGCUCGACUCUUUUGGUUAAAUGUCUAUAUAUCAGGUGACAUUCCAAGUUAAUUUCACAUAUACCUAAUUUUGAUUAAACUUUCUCACUAAUUGGUUUGCUUAUCUCCACUUUCCGAUCCACUAGUUUUAUUUUUAAUAUUCCCACUAAACUCGUUAAUUACUAAUCUUUUUCAAAUUAUUUUUUCUCUAUUAUUGUAACUUCAAAUCCUUAUAAAUUACGUAUUGGAGACAUGGAUACAAUGUUUUGACAUAGUAGACUUUUGGCUUGUCUGGAGAAAUUUAGGGUAGAUUUUUAUGCACUAAGGCUCUAUUUACUAUUGAGAUUUUGGAACUUUUAAGCCACACUAGAAAUUUUGUAUUGUUUUGAAUGAGUUGUAGUCUUUGAUAUGUGAUUGGUAUUAAUCAGGUGUUGUGUUUACAAUAGUUAAAGGCAUAUUGAAUCAAAACCCACUUCUAAGGGCUUGAUUGAGUGAUUUUUAAGUAGGUUUCUAGUUUGCUAGCCACUCAAGUUCAAAUAUUGGAACCACAAAACUUUAUAGGCAAGUGAGAGAACUUAUGUCCUAAAAGUUGAGGGGUUCAUAUCGAGUUUUACUACCAAUAAAAGUUGGUGUUAAUACUUUAAAUUUCCUCCUAUUGAUGGAUAGGGGUACUUAGGGGUUUACAUUCCCUCCUAUUAAUAGACAGGGGUUAUUAGGAAUAUUAAAAAAAAAGUUCAAAUAUUGAAAAAAUAGGUAUGGGUUAUAAAAUGCAUAAUAUAAAGACACAAAAUCAAGAUAAAAAAUUAAAAAUUUAGAACCAUGAGAGCGUGACUUGUAAGUUUCAAAGAAGCAUGUGCAAAUAUAUGCAUUAUCGAUGCCCAUUAGGAGUGAACAUUAACAUCAGAUUAACUCGAACUGAACCUAAAAUUUAUUUUGAGUUCAAUUUGAUUAUGGUUGAAGCUUCCAACUGAGUUCAAAACUUAAAAAUGAUUGGGUUGUAUUUCUGUUCGAAUUUAACCCCAAAAGACUAAUCAAUCCAAUAGAGUUAAGUAAGCAAAUUAAGAAAAAAAAAUCCCAAAAAAUUAAAACUAACCCUAACUAAAAUAUUCGACCGCGGCCUCCUCGUUUUCUUUGCUAUUACUAUAAUUUUUUUUAACCAAUUUUCACAUUCAUCAACAUAGGCUGACACAUUUUGUAGAAAAUAAAAUUAAAUAAAAAUACAAGCUCACGAAAUUCCUUUUCCGAUGUGGGAAUCUAUCUACACCUUUCACGUGCCUUUUUUUUUUUUUUUUGGUGGUGGGGGAUUCACUUGCUUUUGUUUGCAUUGCCUUAUUGGAUAAAAGUUUGUAGAACAUCGUCUGUUUGGUUAAAGCCGAGCAUGAGUGAAGAAAAAUUAAAAAUAAAUAAUUUCCCAUUAAUUUACAACAAGUAUUAAUAAAGUGCAUGAGAAAAGACACCAAGAUAUGCCUUUUUUUAAAUGAAAAUAAAUGUGUUAAUUAGUCAAUUUAAAUGGUAUGACAUUUUGAAAUGAUAGAAGCGAUCUAAAGUUUAAAUCUUACUCACACUUAAUUUAGGGUUGGGGAUCAAUUGACGUAAUAUAUAAUAACAAAUUCGAAAGACAAUUAAAAAUUAAAAGAAAAUAAAAAAGUGCUUUCUUUUUUAUGAUGGUAAUUUGUUUAGAUGGUGAAAACUCUUAAGAGUGGUAUUAUCAAUACAUAGUUUCGAGCAUUGCCAACGUGCAUAAUAUUUAAUUUCCUUUAUAUAGUUAUAUCUCAACUAACAUUUAAACAGAAGUAAGUUGUAAAAAAAAUGAACCAUUGAGAUUUGAGAGAACGAAAAACUAAAAAAAAAGUUAAAAAAUUACAUCUCAAUAAAUUUACUUGAGAACUACUUUACUGAUUAGUGAAGAGAAAACACAAAGAAUAAUGAUGUAUCUCAAUUAAUAGGAAAGUUUUUGUAUUUUUCGUUUAUUCAAGAAUCACGAAACUUUAUUUAAACUUGUUAUUUCAUUGAUAAUAUAUUAAUAUUGAACAAUUAAUGUAGGCGACAAUCCUUUCCAAUUAUGCCCAUAUAUUAAUUAACGACCACCAAAAAGUUCAAGGAUACUAUAGUAAUUUAAGUCAACAAUUUCUGUGCUUGAAAUCAGCCAAUCAAACUCACUUUAGAAUAAAAUGAGAAAUCAAAAUCACAUUCUCCAAUUCUACGAUUUCAAUUCAUUUUGUUUUUUCAACUGAAGAAUUGGUUGUAUCUCGUUUUAUUUUUUUAUAAAGAUAAAUAUAAAAUAUAAAUGACGAGGAGACUGUAAAAGUAAAAUUAAAAGAAGAGCACGAGUUUUAUUGAAAAUGACUCUUUUCAUCAUUUUGCUGGAGUCCAUGUAUCUACAUAUAAACUAAAGAAGCACAUUUGUUUGUAUUAGCUUUUUUAUUAUAAUAAGUCAUUUGUCAAUGAACUUAUAUCAAUUUUUACGAAAAUAAUAGGUGUGUGUUAGUUUAUUCAAAUGGCAAAACCUCUUGGGAUAGAGCUUGUAAUUUAGUGGCUCAUGAAUUAUCUAAAUUGACACUACCGAAGCCAAAUUAUUGUAUUUGGUUAAAAAAGCUCCUACUAUGCUUCAACUUUAUUAUCCUCUGAUGUUUAUUAAUAAAUAACAAUUUUAUUGAAAAAAAAAGAACUUUUGAAAUGAUACAAAAGAUUUAGGAUAUGAAUCUCACUCGAAUUUAACUUGAGGUUGGCAUUGUUAACAUAAUAUUUGAAGAUAGAUUUUUUAAAAAAAAUAAAAAAUUUUUGGUUCAAACUAGUUAGUUUUAACUCAUAGUGAGAUUUAAACAAAAGCAGAAUAAUAAAUCUUGAUAUCCUGACUCAUGAAUAACGUAUAGAUAAGAUAAUAAAAUCUAUUGUAUUGAAAAUAAGAAGUCUGAAGUUUGAAUUUCGCUCACAUAAGUAGUACGAGAAUCAAAUUAUUGUUAGAUUAAAUUAAUUAAAAAAAUCUGAUAUCCAAAAAAAAUAUCAACAAAAAUGAAAUAAAAGAAAAUUGAAGAGAAAAACCAUUGAGAGAACGAAAAAUUAACACUAGAAAAUUUCUAUAACUAAUUGUAUUAGUGUGCGCAAACUGCACUUAUUAAAACAUGGUUAUUUCAUUUUCGUGGAUAAUCAUUUUGACACCGGUCAAAUUUAAAAGUUUUAAAAAAUAUGGGCGAUUUUUCUUUCCAGCUAUGCCCAUUAACUAAUAAAAGAACCGCCGAAACGGUUCGGGGAUAAUAUAGUAAUUUAAACUAACAGUUUCUGUGCUUCAAAUCAUCAUAUCAAACUCACACCUCACAAAAGCAGAGAAAUCAAACGGUUUCCGACUCUACGCUUUAAUUUCAGCUUCAUUUCUUCAACUGAAGAAUCGGUCGUCUCUCAUUUUUUAUUUAUUAUAUAAAGAUAAAUAUCUAAAUUUAAAUGCGAGAAGAGCGGACGAGGAAUACGAUUACUUGUUCAAAGUGGUAUUAAUCGGCGAUUCGGGAGUCGGCAAAUCGAACUUACUCUCCCGAUUUACUCGUAACGAGUUCUGUUUGGAGUCCAAAUCAACUAUUGGCGUCGAAUUCGCCACCCGCACUCUUUCAAGUAACUAACUUUUCCUUUUUCACUUCUCUUCAUUUUUAUUAGUUAAUUAAGAUCCAGUUAAUUUAAUUAAUUUUAUUUAAUCUUUUAAAUAAAGUUCUAUAUUGGGCUAACUUAGAUUCAUGUGAAGUUGAAGUGAUUUACUUUCGAUCUCUUUUUCGUCCUAUGUUUAUUUGUACUUACUAUUACUUUUUUUUUGGGUUUAAAUUUUCGUUUUUGAAGUGUUUACUGAAUAAAUUUCUGAGCUUUAUUUGUGUAUGCUGAUUGAUUUGUGAUUUUAAUUUUGUGACUUUUUUUUUGGAAUUUAAAUUUGAAUGCUUUUUAAGUUGAAUCUGAAUGUGUUGGGCUGCGAUUUAAUUAAGUCAUCUGUGAGCGCCAAAUUGUGAUAGCUAUAUAUUGGGGUGAAAAUUUGGGAUUUAAAGUUAUGUAUUUAAGAUGCAGUUAAUUCGCAAGUGAAAAUUAUGGGCCGGCAGAUUUUGUCAUUGGAAGACUGUUCUCCACAUGUUGAAGUUAGUGAUGCAAGUUGAAACCAAUCUGUUUACGCUUGGGGUUUCAUGUCUUGAAUCAAGGCUGUGACUUGGGGUGGGUUGAAAGUAUUAUAGCUUUAGCUAUUCCUGAAGUGAUCUGUUUAGACUCACCGUGAUGAGACCGAGUGCUGUACAGUAAAAUGAAAGGAAGUUGGAAAAUAUUUACUUAGCAUUUCGCGUUACUAAUGUUGAACUAAUAAAACCUAGCCCCUAUCCUAGUGAAUUUAUGUUAAAAAGCUAUGCACGCAUUAAGUUAGUGCGAGAGUCUGCUGAAGCAUAUGUCAGCUGUGUGUUUGGAGCUGAGUAUUCUUCAUUCCACAUUUUGGGUUUUGGUUGACCUCCAGCAUGACUCAACCCACUUGACUUAAAAGCCCUAGAGUUACAUUCUACCCAUGAUAUUUGAGUUUAUCAAGUCACCAUAUUUUAAUACUUCUCUGGAAAACAAAUAUAUAUGUUAAAUCAGGUAGGAAAAAUAAAAAGUUAAUUAUUGAGUUGUAAUGGUGCAACUAAGGUUUUGAAACAUUAAGAUCUUUAGCCAUUAUGUUACUAUCCCGUAGUUAUUUAAGUUACAAGAGAUAGUAAAAAAUAACAUCAUAUUUUAAUUACUUACACUAAUCCUACAAGUGCUGAUGGUCUAAAGUUGCUGCUGCUUGCACUGAAUCAGUGGUCAUGGGCCAGCCAAGGUUAGGUGAGGCCAACUCAUUAGCUCGUGAAACUUAAAGAAGUCUUAGGUUUGGAAAAGAUGGGGCACAGGUUACAAAAUUUUUUUGAGUUUUGGAUUGAAGGAACAAAAUUAUUGAUGUCUAGCUCACAAUACUUGAAGUCACUCUGUGCUUCAUCAUGUAAAAUGGAUUGAAUUGCUGUAAGAUCAGGUCAAAUUAAAAUGUUUAAACUCAUUUAUAAGAAACGAAUUCUCAAUUGGACCAGCCUUUCACAGAAGCUGAUAUCACAGAAGCUUUGAGUCAGAUGCAUCCAACGAAAGCCCCUGGCCAGCAGUAUUUUUCUAAAAGCUUUGGAAUUCAGUAAGCGAAGGAGUUAUAGCCACUUGUCUGCACAUCCUCAAUGAUGGAGGUAAUAUUGCUCCUUUGAAUUAUACAUACAUUGCUUUAAUCCCCAAGAUAGCAAAGCCUAGGACUAUGAUGGAGUAUAGACCAAUCAGCUUACGUAAUGUAAUUUAUAGGAUCAUUGCAAAGACUAUAGCGAAUGGGCUGAAGCUAAUCUUAGAUCAUGUUAUUUCACCAACUCAGAGUGAUGUUGUGCCAAAUAGGCUCAUAACUGAUAAUAUAAUUAUUGGGCAUGAGUGUUUUCAUAAGAUUAGGCAUUGCAAAAAUAAAAAGCAUGGUCUAGUGGUUUUGAAAUUAGACAUUAGCAAAGCAUAUGACAUGGUGGAGUGGAGUUUUUAAGAUGCACUAUGGAAAGGUUGGUUUUUCUCACAAAUGGGUGGAACUGGUCAUGAGAUGCAUAUCUACACCAUCUUUUUCUGUGCUGAUCAAUGAGGUAGCAAAAGGCCUUAUCCAGCCUCAAAGAGGCUUAAGACAAGGCUGCCCACUCUUUCCAUAUUUGUUCAUUAUUUGUGCUGAGGUUUUCACAAAUCUUUUGAAGCAAGCUGAAUCGAACCAGCUGAUUCAUUGAUUAAAAUUCAGUAGGGACCUGUCUAUUACUCAUCUUCUGUUUGCAGAUGAUAGUUUGAUUUUCACAAGAGCCAUUAAAGAAGAUUGUAUGAACCUGAAGCAACUCUUUGAUUGUUAUGCUGCUGCCUCAGGCCAGAUUUUUAAUUUCAAAAAGUCCUCCAUGUUCUUCAGCGAUAAUGCCAAGCAAGAGCAGAUAGCUACAAUUAAGGAUAUAUUUCAACUUCAAGUGGUUUCAAGACAUGAAAUGUAUCUUGGACUACCUUCAAUGGUGGGAAGAAAUAAGACCAGCUUCUUCAACGAUAUCAAGCUCAGAAUUAUAAACAAAAUCUCCAAUUGGCAAGUAAAAUUUUUCUUGUGUGGAUGGAAGGAGAUGCCUAUAAACGCAGUAGCUCAAGCAGUGCCUGCUUACGCCAUGAGUAUUUUUAAACUUCCUUUAGGGCUAUGUGAGGAUAUGCAGAAGGCCAUUGCUGGGUUUUGGUGGGGAAGUUCAAGGAAUCAUAGGUCUAUUCACCGGUUCAAGUGGGAAAGAAUGUGUCUAGCUAAGAAGAGGGGUGGCUUAGGUUUCCGAGACUUGUCUAGUUUCAACCAAGCGCUUGUGGCAAAACAGAGUUGGAGGAUCAUUCAAGCGCCAGAAUCGCUCAUAGCUAGGGUGAUGAAGGCAAGAUAUUUCAGACAUUCGGAUAUUAUGGAGGCACAAAUUAGCUCAAACCCCUCUUAUAUAUGGAGGAGCAUCCUGUGGGGGCGAAAUGUUAUUCAUAAGGGUCCUAGAUGGAGAAUCGGAGAUGGAAAGCAGGUGAAAGAGUAUCAAAGUUGCUGGUUACCAAGACCUGUAACGUCCAAACCAAUAUGUCCUACAAGUCUCCCUUUGGAGACUAUGGUUUCAGAGUUGAUUGAUGAGGACCACUGCUGGAAAGAUCUUGUAAUAAUAAGACAACAUUUUCAUCAAGAAGAUGCUGCCCAGAUACUUCAGAUCCCUCUGCCAAGACAACCAAGAUCAAACCAAGUUUUGUGGCUUUACAACAAAAAAGGUUACUACUCAGUCAAGAGUGGGUAUCAACUAGCUCUACAAAUGAAGUUCCCAACCAAGCCUAGCAGUUCAGAGGAAGGCAAAAGUGCAUGGAACUCAAUUUGGUAUUUACAAAUUCCAGAGAAAGUGAAGAUAUUUAUGUAGAGGGCUGCAAAUGACAUGCUGCCCAUAGCAGAGAAUUUAUGGAAGAAAAGAGUAUAACAAGCCCCCUGGUGUCAGAGAUGCAGGGGUUAUGGAGAGUCUAUCUUCCACACAUUGUUUGAAUGUAAAGCCUCGCGGAAAAUUUGGAAGCUCACAUCUUUUGAAGAUGAAGUGAAAGCCCCAAAAUGUAAAGAUGUCCUAAGCUUGCUGUUGGCUUUGGCUGAAGGACGAAGCAAGACUGAAAUGGAGCUGAUAGUUGCUUUGUGCUGGAGGGAGCAUAUGGCACUCAAGGAAUCUUUUUAUUUUCAAAAGCAAAAAGGAAGAUUCUCAAUUAUCAGUAGCUGGAGUUGAGGCAAUUGUUCAGUCUUAUAAAAGAAUUCAAAUGCCGCAUAUGCAAGCAAUAUCAUAUCAAAGUUCUGAAUCCCAGAAGCAUUGGAAGUGUCCCCCUGCAGGUUGGUUCAAGGUGAAUGUUGAUGCAGCUAUAAAGUUAGACCAACAAAGAGUAGGUCUGGGCAUUGUAAUCAGAAAUUCAGAAGGCAAACUUAUAGCAGCAGCCUUAAAGCCAACAAAAUGGCUUGAUAAAGUGGAUUAUGCAGAAGCUGAAGCAACUAAGUUCGGGCUGGAAGUAGCUGAAAACGCCGGAUGUUCACCUUUGAUUGUUGAGACUGAUUCACAGGUAGUAGCAGAUUUAGUCUUAGCUAGAAAAAUAACAAAAGCUGAGAUUUUUUGGAUUGUAUCCGAGGUCCAAGAGAUGUGAAGAGAUUAAAACAUGUCAAGUUACAGCACACACUAAGAACUUGUAAUGGUUUUGCUCACGCACUUACUAAGUUAGCUUUAGACUAUUCUGAUUUUGUAAUAUGGGUGGAUAGCAUACCAGCCCAUCUUUUGUAUCUAUUCACAGAGUUGAAUGAUUGAAAGUAAUACUUUCAUUUAAAAAAAAAACAUACAAGGAUCUAAUUAUAAAUAUAUAAUCCAAGAAAACAGUAAUAAUAAUGAAUCUCGUAAACAAUAAUUAAAUAAUAGCAAUAAUAAGUGGACAGAGCUAAGCCACUCGGCCUUUGGCCGAGUUGGAGAGCAGCAGUUCGAACCCCCACAAUGUAUUGUGGGGGUAUUUUCUUCCUCAAUUAAAUUUGAGUGAAGGCAGUCUGUUUCAUUGUCCCAGUGUGAGGAGUAGAUAUCCCUCGAAUAUUUGAGAGGGUUAAAAUUUGGGCAGUGCUCUAUUAGCAUUGAUGUAUGUUGGUCUCAGUUAUAGUCUGAUUUGUAAAUAUCAGUUAUAUUCUCAUGUAAUAUGAGUUGUAAUAUGAGCAAUAGUCUCAUGUAAUUAAAAAAAAAAAGUGGAUAAAGCUAUGAGUUGUAAUAUGAGCAAUAGUCUCAUGUAAUAAAAAAAAAAAAGUGGACAAAGCUAAGUUCCAGAGGAGUUAUAGUCUUAUUUAUAAAUAUCAAUUAUAUUUUCAUGUAAUAUGAGCAAUAGUGUAAUAAAAAAAAAAAAAAAAAAGUGGACAAAGCUAAGUUCCAGAGGUGAAAUAGGAAAUUCUCCCGCACGACACAGCACAAACUUACUUUACCUUUCAUUUUCUUUUCUCUUUCUCGCCCUCCAAACAGAGCAAAAGGACUGUCGCAAGAUUCUUCACUUCCAUCCAAAAUCAUGAGCAACGAAUAGUGAGCCUCCCUGUUUCCUUCCUUUUUUUGAUAUUAACAUUGUUAACAUCUACUCAUUUUAAUUUGACAAUACUUCAAUUUUUUUUAUUUUUUUGCCUUUUCAUUUUUUUUUUGUUGAAGCAAUUAUCUGUUCAAGCUGUUGCUUAUCGGAGACUCGUCCGUCGGAAAGUCCUGCCUGCUGCUCCGAUUUGCUGUCUGUUGACUUUUCCUUUCCCUUCUUAUUUUCUUUUUUUUAUAUUAAUUACUUCCUAUUUUAGCUUUUUGUUCUCUGAAUUUGUGUUAUUAAAAUGAUAAUUUAGAUGAUUAAUAAUUGUUAUUCUUGUAAAUUUCAGUUUUCAUUACGCUAAUUGUUAGUUUUUAGGUUUAUUAAUGUAAUUUUUUUUUAAUUUUUCAGGAUGAUUCUUAUGUCACAGCUACAUCAGUACCAUUGGAGUUGAUUUUGUGAGUCUCUCUUCUAUAUAUAUGUAUAUAUGUAUGUAUAAGUUAUAAUAUGAGUCUAUGUUCGUGUAUGUAUGUAUGUGUAUGCAUAUGUGGAAAGAAAUGUUGGCAGACUUCAGCAUUUUACUUUUUUUUUUAUUUUGGCAGAAAAUAAGAACUGUGGAGCUGGAUGGGAAGACGAUCAAACUGCAGAUUGUGAGUCAAAAUUUCCCUUUAUCUUGUAUUGAGAGAAAUUCGAUUUGUCUUAUUUAGUGAAGGUUAUGUUCAAGAACCUUGUCUUAUUUUCUUUGUUUGAAGAGUGAUAUGUUGAAAUGAGUGUAUUUGUCUUAUAAACAUCAUUUAGGUAAUGUCUGAUGUUUGAUUGUUUUUCAUCUGUUUAGUGGGACACUGCUGGACAGGAGCGAUUCAGGACUAUAACUAGCAGUUAUUACCGAGGAGCCCAUGGAAUCAUAGUAAGGAGCCUUCCCGCUUCUUGGUUUAAAUCAGAAAGUUUGUGAUUUACAUGUGACAUCUUAACAACAUUGUACUUUUCAAAAAAAAAAAUAAACAACAUUGUAUGUGUUUAUUAACUUAUUUUUCAUCUUUCGUUAAGCAGUACAUUUUCCAAUAAAUCUGUAUACAAGAUGAUGUAGUCCAAGAAUGGGAGCGAUAAUAUGAUGCAAAUUGUCUAAUAAAUUCUUAUGACAUAUGAUGUUGUCGGAAGUAAAAGUCUUGCAAUGCUCUCUUUUAAGAAAGAAUAAGUGGUAAUUUUGUUUUUCCAAUUUUUUAAUUGAGCAACUGUGUGAGAUUAAUUAAAUGUGUUGGGAUUUCAACAGAUUGUCUAUGAUGUAACUGAGAUGGAGAGCUUCAAUAAUGUCAAGCAGUGGUUGAAUGAGAUUGACAGAUACGCAAAUGACAGUGUAUGCAAACUUCUAGUUGGGAACAAAUGCGAUUUAGUUGAGAACAAGGUUGUGGACACACAGACAGCCAAGGUAUAUUCGUGACUUCUGUCGCCUGAACUUUGAAUAUAAUUUUAAACUCUUCUCAAGUGCAUUUGCUUGAUAAGUUUCUGCAUACCCAGGACACUCAAACUUUGGACAGUUUGUAUCUCGAGCUGGAAUCUUUUUUGUCAAUACGACUUGUUAAAAUAAGGAUUAUUAUCGUUUGAAUCCUUCAAGAAUUGCAAUAAAUCUAAAGUCCGUAAAAAAUAUGAUUUCAUCAUUUUACUAUUAUAUCCAGACAAAAUCCAUUAUUUUACUACAUUUUAUGUAGCACGGAUAGUUGACCUGUUGGCUGACUGAUAAAAUAUCAAUUUUGCACUUUAUAUUAAUUCUUUUUUGGUUAAAAAAUAACACACAAAGUAUUACAAUAUUAUAAAUUCAAAAUAGAAAGUAGCUACAAAUAAUUCCUAUUAGCCUAUUAAUAUAAUAUUUGAUACCUCUAUUUGUGUUAUUUUUUUCCAAGGGUGAAAUUGGUAUUUUUUUUGUACUAACGGAAAUGUAGUAAAAUGAUAAGUUUUGUAAAGAUAUAGUAGUAAAAUGAUAGACUAAAAUACUUCUGUAGUUGUUUGAUAUAUUGUAAUUCUUAAAGUAGUCAAUUGAUAAUAUUCCCUAAAAUAAAUGUUCGUAAUAUGUUCUCAUUUUAAUGCAACUGAUUGUUUAAUAAAAUUGUAUUUCUUUGUUAAUCUUUUAUCAUGUGCAUGCUCAGUGAGAAUUUGACUUACUAGCACACAAGUUUGACUCUUCAUGUAAAUGUCCCUUGUAUCAUAUCCUUCAAUGUUGAGUGUGUUUCCAAUAAAAUUGAGUAGGGGAAUCCUUAAAUACCUUUUCCUUUUUUCCAAGGGCUGUGCCAAAUUGCUCUAAGUGAUUAUCAAUGGAUAAUGAAAAUAAAUUUUUUAUUAAAGCAAUUUUUUCCUUAAAGGGUGACUAAUAGUACCCCCUUUUUGGAAAAGAAAGUCAGAACAUGCCCAAAGAGAAUCAUUUAUAUUCCUCUAAUGUAUUUUCUAAUUUGUUUCGAGCCUUGAAUGUCCGUUUUGGUGCGUAUUCUCAUUCCAUGUCGAAUCUUAUCCAUAUGGACAACCCCAAUUACAAAAUGGAUCUAUUGAAGUUCAUAUGAGGUUUGUGCUUUAGAUUUAGACCUCCCCCCCCAACUUACCUGUCUUUCACUUACCUGUUUGCAUGCAUGCCCAUGUGCACACUUGCAAGAUAAUACACGGUCACGCGUACUUGUGCUUUGGUUGAGCUAUUGGCUGCUAACCCUCUGUAAUUCAGUUUGAAACUUGCCACCCUUAGUGCUUUGCUCAAAUGGUUGGUUAGGGUGGAUCGUUUUCCUGGUCUCUUUCCAAGGUUAUCUAAAGGGAUUUGGCAGUCUGAUUCUUUAGGGAAUAUCAUUGCAUAAGAUAUCUACUGUUUGUCAAUGAAUAAUUUCUAUUAAUUAGUUAUCUAUAUAAAUUGGUAAAUUUUAACUGCAUAAUUUGCAUUCAAUAAGAUUUUAUAAGAAUCUUAUUUUCAACUCAUGACUUAGACUCAUGUGAUAUGUUGAGCAUUAAGCUACAAGAUCUGCACAUCAAAGUGCUUCACUAUGUUAAGGAGAAAGCAUCUUUUUCUGUUCUUCAUGUGAUUUAAAGUUUCCAAGGUACUUAUCCUAUAAAAUAUCUUUCAAGACUUUGGAAAUGCUUUUAUGUAUGACUGAGAGAAACUUGUUGGGUUUUUUUUAGCAACAGACGGAGUUAUGGACUUUGUGUUGACUUGUUAUUGAUUAAGACAGUACAUCGGCUGAUCUAUUGGCAUCAAGCAGCAGAUGCAGAAAUUAUGGGUGGCAUAUCAUUGUAUCCAAAUAACGUACUACAUUGAUUUUUCUGACUUUCUGUUGGUCUCCGAGUGAAAUGCAGGCAUUUGCAGAUGAACUGGGGAUUCCUUUCCUGGAGAUGAGUGCCAAAGAUGCAAUCAAUGUGGAGCAGGCUUUCUUGACCAUGGCUGGCGAGAUUAAGAAAAAGUAAAAUCACUUAACUCUUUCCUUCUUGCCUUGUGAUUGAUUCUGUGAUCCAUUGCCUAUUUGCAAAUGCUGACUGUUCUUAUUCAAUAAUCACCAUUAUUGCUGGUUAUAUGCACUGUGAUGAAAAUUCUGCAAUGAGUAACUUUUUACCUAAUGUUUUCUGUUGGAACAAAUUACUCUGGUAGAAAAGCCCUACAGGGUUUGAGAAAACCCAUGAUGUGACGAUUGUGAGCAUUUUAGAGACCGUGUAGGGGUUUAUUUAUGACUAUAAAAUGGUAAGAUUGUUUCUAGUUUUGGUUUGUAGUUCAUAAAAGGAUUCAAAAUUUGACAUCUGUCUAAAUCAGAUUAAUAACAUGAUAAUGUACAUAUGCAAGAUGUGAGGAAUUGUUUUAUCUCACCCCUGAACUUUAAGAAAUUGAAACAUUAUCAUUCAAAAUAUUUAACAUUUCCAGAAUUGAUAGUUGUCUAUUUGAGCAGUGACCGGUGGUUAUCAUGAACUGAUGUGUGGUUGUGGUGUCAAAUCUUGGUGAAACCUGUUGUCAUCUGCCGGUUAACAUAGCUAGUCUCUGAAAUAAUUUCUUGAUUCACUAAUUAUGAGUUCAAAUUUGAUGCAGAAUGGGCAACCAGCCUACUGCAAACAAAUCUUCUGGAACAGUUCAGAUGAAGGGACAGCCAAUCCAGCAAAACAGCAACUGCUGUGGUUCGCAGAGCAUGUUAUUUUACUACUACAUGUUAGCUGACUGAUUGUAGACAGUUUUAACUAUGUUGACUGCAUUAUCUUAGGAAUCUUUUAAUAUGUCAAAUAUUUAUUUCCUGCUUUAAGUUCUUUCCGUUUAUAACAAAUUUAAUUUCUUGCUUCAUUGCAUUCCAAAUUCCUGUCAAUUUACGAGGGAAAAAGAAAAGAGAGACGAAAUCAGAGAAAAUGGUCAAAUUUGUUAGGGGGAGAGAGCUGUUCAAGUAGUUUCUGUUCUUGUUUAUCGUCGUGACCCUCUUGUAGCUUGUCUAUGACCUGGAAGUCCGGUCAUAUCGGAUGGGUAAAGUUACCAAAACGGCAUCAUUUUGGGUGAAAUAUCAUAUUUAUGUAACACUUUUGAUAAUGUUUUUGUGCAACAAAAAAAUGUUCGCGGUACCCUUUUCACAUUGUGUAGCGCAUGAUCGGAUGAGAGCAGUCUGGAUUCUGGCAUCACAAGCUAAUGCUUUGAUUUGCUUAGUUUUUUUUUUUUUUUUGUUUCUGAUAUUUUCUUGGCAUUGGGUGGCAUAUUGUUUCUCUUUUGAGUUUCCCUUUUUUUUUUUUUUUGUUAUGGAAUUUAGAGAUAAUGUACAUGUAUGAAGAUGACGUAAUAAAGUUAUUUGAUGCUGCUUGUAUGAAGAUAGUGUACAUGUAUGAAGAUGACAUAAUUAAUUUGACUUCCAUUAUAUUAAUUAUGUCCAAUCAUGCUUCUUUAAUAAAGAACGCCGGAGCAUUUAAAUGUAUACAACAUACCAAAUUAAUUACAAAAUGAUCUUUGACAAAGUCUGACCGGUCAACUAUCCAUCAGAUUCUGUAAUGUGUUACCGUUGAACUCUCAUAUCAAGUUUGGAUAGACAGCGCUUUGGCUAACAAUGAGAUAUAUGCGAGCAUCAAAGCUCCUUUCUCUGUUUUAAUGGUGUUUCUCUUUGUGGUUGUUGAGCUCUUAUCUCUGUUUUAAUGGUGUUUCUUUUUGUGGUUGUUGGACAAACUGUAAUGUGAAUUUCUAUUUAAUGGGUAUCCUAAUACUUUUAGUUAGUUUGGAAUUGUUGAUUUAUAUAUGACGUUCAGUAUCCAAAAUUCAGAUAAUGAUAACCUUUAGUACUCUUGUCAUAUUACCUUUCGUGUUGGUGUUAGUAUCUUAAUUAUGUACCCAAUGAUAAGGACAAUAUAUACCUAAUUUGAAACUUCUAUAAUUUUACAUAUAUAGAUGCAAAUUCAUUUUUAAGAGUGCAUUUAAUCAAGCAGUCCAUGUGUUUAUACUGAGUAAUUGGUUCAAUAUCAAUACAAUACUAUUUUAAGUAACAUGUGGCAUAUUCUAAUUCCAGUGAGCUUCCAACUCAUAUUCCCAAUUCAAAAGAAAAGUUUUCAAUUUUCUCCAGAACGUUCUACAAAACGUUUCUUCUAGUCUCUACACUGUGCUAGAAUUUUCUCUAAGUUUCUUUUGCAAAGACUUUUAAAGAACUAUCCAGAUACUGAGCUAUAAUCCAGUCUAAGCGUAUAUAUCUCUCUAUAUUUCACCUCCCUCCAUUUCACUAGAAGAUCAACAAACACUUAGCUUUGAAACAAACACUCUAAAAAAGCUAGCUUAGCUACCCAGAUGGCGAAAUCAAGAAUUCUUGCAAUGACAAUGUCGUUUCUUGUUAUGGCUGCAACAUUGAUUAUCAUGGCAUCACAAGCAAACACUCUGAUGUCGUACACACGAUCACCUUUCUUUGACGUGAUAUUUGCAAUGACAGAAGAUCCUUUCCGGGUUCUUGAACAAACCCCUCUAACAAUCCCAAAAAGAGUUGAUCAUCAUCAAACUCUAGCCCUGGCGAGAGCAGACUGGAUGGAGCACCAACAGCACACGUGAUCACGCUCGACAUUCCAGGGAUGAAGAAAGAUGAAGUGAAGAUUGAAGUUGAAGAGAACAAGGUACUCAGAGUGAGUGGGGAGAGGAAGAGUGAUGAUUAUUAUAAGGAGGGAGUUGAAGGAGAGAAAAGGCACAGAGCUGAGAGCACUUUUGGCAAGUUUUGGAGGCAGUUCAGGAUGCCUAUGAGUGCUGCCUUGGAACAUGUUAAGGCUCAUUCGGAAAAUGGUGUUCUAAGGAUCACAGUGCCAAAGCUUGCUGAGGAGAAGAGGAGGCAGCCUAAGGUUAUUAGCAUUAAUGAAGAGCUUGCAGGUAAUUCUUUCGGUGAAGAUAUUAAGGCCACCAAGGCCCAAAUGUGAUUGAUUAAAGAAAGAAGUGCUUGCUUCACUUGAUAUGCUAUUUGUUUAUGAUCUUUUCUUAGUUUUGUUGUGGGAUGUUUCUCUCUGAACGUUUUGUUUAUUGUAUUUUGAUGGGUUUUUUAAGAUGGUUUGCAUGUACUAACAACAAUAAAAGUGUUUUUUUAUAAAUCCGUGUCCUAAGUUUGUAAAAGAAAUUAAUAUGCUUGGUUGUUAAUAAAAAAAUAAAAAUAAAAAGCCUUUUUCUUUGGCGUAUAUUAUGCAUUUUAAGAAAUUUUUUUUUUCACACUCCAAUUCAUAAAGAUAUUCUUCUUCUGUCAUAUUAAUGUGUCAGUUUUGAUGAAUCCAAAUAUUCAAUAACUGAUCAAUUAUAUUUAUAAAUAUUAAUAGCGAUGGCACAUAAAUAAUUAAUUCAAGAACUCGCCCAAAGUGCAUUAAUUUGAAGAGUAUAAAUAACAUUGCAAUACAGUUCAGCCCUUACGUGUUUAAUUAGCAAUUAAAAACUACUUUAUAUUGUAAAACACCAUUAAAAGAAGAUUUGCCAAAGUCUGAUUGAAGAGAAUAUACACGCACACAUGUAUAUAACCGUACAGCAGAAGGAUCAAUAAAAGAAAAUGAAGUUUCAACAGCUGAAUAAUGCAAAAUCAUUUUUUAAAAAAGUAUUUUAUUGUUUAAUUAAAAAAUUCGAAAACCCAUUCGCCUUAUAUAUAUGAUAAAGACUCACCGACACCGAACCAUAUUAAUUUAAAUUAGUUUUCAACUGAGAUUUGAAUUUUAAAAUUAUAUACACAAACACGCCCAUUUUUUUUAAAAUACUAAUAGUAAAAUAUUUCAUUUUUCAUCUAUUACAACAAGAGGUAUAAUCGCAAAAGUGAAAAAUAUUUCAUUUAACAAGUCCCAAUAUUGUCCUCCAUCCUUUCUGCACUUCUCUGCUAUCAACGGACAACUCCAGAUCCAUAAUCGCAAAAGUGAGGAAGGCAGUCAUCAUCUGUUCAAUUAUCAAAAAAUCCUUUUACCAUCCAUUUUUUUUUUUGAGAAAAGAAGUGGUUUUCAUUCAUUCAAAGAGUUAAAUAACUCCAUAACUUCUGAAGGGUACAAGUCUACCCAUACAAAAGUUUUACCUUUCUCUAAAGCUAGCUGCUAUAGAGUGAGUAAUAACAUUACAUGAUCUUGGUGUUUGCUGGAUUUUCCAUGCAUUGAAGCCUUUCAAGCUACUUUGCAUUUCUGCAACUAACCAUUGAAUCUUUGUUCUGCUGCUCUUCCUGUUGUUGACAAAAUCUACUGCCUCCUGGGAAUCCGAUUCUACAAUGACUCUUGCCAAACCUUUCUCUAUAGCUACACUCAGGCCCCAAUUCAUUGCCUCAGCUUCUGCAAAUGUUACAUCACUGUGAAGCUUUGUACUCUUGACAGCAGCUGCGAUAACAUCUUUGUUUGCAUCCCUUAUGAUUAUCCCCAAGCUUACUCGGUGCUCCUCUCGGUUUAUGGCAGCAUCUACGUUAAUUUUAACCCAACCUGAGGGUGGAGGGCUCCAACAUGUUUGAGUUGUCAUCUGGUCCCCAGCCUUGAGAAUUCUUCUUGGAGCUUGAAUCCUUUUGAAAGAAUCAACAACUGCCUCUGCUUUGGCUGCUGUUAUGCAAGGCUCAUCUCUUUUUCCCCGAACAAAACAUGAUUUCUUGCACUCCAAAUUACCCAACACAGAGCUAUUACCAGAUCAGCAUUGUUUUUACCCAUUCUUCUCACUGCUUCAUGGACAAAACUGAGGAUGUCUUGGUGAGCUAUAUUUCCAAUAUCAACUGCAAAUUUGGUGGUUUUCCAUACUGUACGGGCUAAUUUGCACUCCAUCAGGGCAUGGGCAGUUGUUUCCAUCUUAGUUCCACAUAGUUGGCAGGUUGGCUGUGGUAAUAGUUUCCUCUUCCACAAGAUCUCAGUGGUUGGGAGCAAAUUUUUUGUUGCCCUCCAUACAAAAAUCUUAAUUUUUUCUGGUAAAGACAAGGUCCAAAUGACUGACCAUUGGUUUGUCUUUUGAUUUGAGCAGCUCGGGAUGUCCGGGAAUUUCUCUCUCAAUGCCACCUGAUAUCCACUCUUCACAGAGUAGAUCCCUUUUUUAUCGUAGUGCCAAACUAUUUGAUCCUCCAUGGGUCGGUUGGGGAGGGGAAUUCUUAAAAUCAUCUCGGCAUCUUCUUUUUCAAAGUGUUGAUUAAUCAAGCCUUCAUUCCACUGGUUAGCAGCAUUAAUCAAAUCUGAGACUUUUGAAUCGAUGGGUAGAGAUGGAGAGGAAACUGGUUUGAAGGUUGUGGGCCUUGGCAUCCAGUUUCCUUUAUAAACCUUGACUUGCUCUCCAUUCCCGAUCCUCCAUCUGAUCCCUUUGUGAAUCACUUGUCUCCCCCACAAAAUACUCCUCCAUAUGAAUGAAGGCUUACUUCCCAGCCUUGCAUUUAAGAACUGACCGUUCUUGAAAUACCUAGCUUGCAGGACUCUAGCCACCAGAGAGUUAGGAAAUUGAAUAAUUCUCCAACUUUGCUUAGCUACUAGCACCUGGUUAAAGCUUGCAAAGUCUCAUAAUCCCAGCCCUCCUCUUUGCUUGGCUUGGCUUAAUUUCUCCCAUUUUGCCCAGUGAAUCCCUUUUUUUUCCUUAUUGCUGCUCCACCAAAAUUUGGCUAUUACUUGUUAGAUAUCAUUACAAGUACUUAAGGGGAGUUUGAAGACACUCAUUGCGUAUGCCGGAACCGCCUGAGCCACUGCCUUGAUAAGAACUUCUUUGCCCCCGCAUGAGAAGAAUUUAUGCUGCCAAUUGGUGAUUUUGCUGGACACUCUCAGCUCGUGUUUCCGCUAAAAAACAUGGAGGAUUUGUCGUAAUUGAAGAGCUGGCCUGAUGCAGCUACAUAGGCCUCAAAUAUCCUUUUCAGAUGCAAAAAAUUUGCUUCUGAGGCAUUUGUGAAGAUGAGACUAUCAUCGGCAAACAAUAAGUGGGAUAUGAUGAUAUCUUUGCUGAAUUUCAGACCAUGGAUUAGGCUUUUUUCUUUAGCUCUUUUACCAUCCAUUUGAACAUACACAAACACGCCCAAUUUGAAAAAAAAAAUAGUAAUUAUAAAAUAUUUCAAUCGUCCACUGUUCAGUCACCAAAAACCAAUUUACCAUCCAUUUCAACGCCUAAUUUGAAAAAAGAAAAUACUAAUAAUAAAAUAUUACAGUCGUCCAUCCUUUCACAAAUCAAAAAUAUCACCAAAAACCAAUUAACCAGCUAUUUCAACAUAAGGUAUAUGGGUUGACAAGUCCCAAUAUUGUGCUCCAUCCUUUCUGCACUUCUCUGCUAUCAACGGACAUCUCCAGAUCCAUAAUUGCAAAAGUGAGGAAGGCAGGCCCUUCUCCGGAAAGUAUUUGAGCUUGGGACAAUCCUCGAGAUACAAUUCAGUGAGGUUUUGAAGAUCAACAAUUGAAGAAGAUAAGCGUUCCAGAUUUGAAAAUUUAUAAAUGCUCAGAGAUGUUAGAGAGGCAGGAAGAGGAAGCGCGGUCCCUAAUCUUUUGUCCUCUAGUGGAAAUGACACCAUGUCGUCAUCACAUCCUUCGAUUGUAAGAUGUCGCAGAGAGGAGAAUCUGUGAAAUCCCCGGCCCCGCUCAAUCAUUGACUUCCAAAUCUCCAUAUUACCCCAAAUACGAAGUGACUGAAGGUUGGUGGGAAGGCCAUCUUCUUCAAGGCUUGGAAGCUCACCUCCUUUUCCUAUUGUUAGUUUUUGAAGAGAGGUCAGAUUGUGCAAUCCCUUGGGUAAGGCCUCUAGUCUCUUGCAAUCAAGUAUCGUCAGCCUCGUGAGUUUCGCACAAGGCAACCCCCCUUCGGGAAAGGACACCAGAUUUCCACAAAUCUGUAUACUAAUCUCUCGAAGCCGGUGGAGUUUAUGUAAACCACUCGGUAAAAUUUUGAGAUUUUCACAAUAAGCAAUGUAGAUAUCUUCAAGAGAUGUGUUGUUGUCCAACCUUUCUGCUAUUGACUCCAGCUUUGAACAUCCACAAACACGAAGGGACUUAAGAGACAGAGGUAGAUUGCCAACUUCAAGGGACUCAAGCGUGGCAGGUAACUCGUUUUUUGAAAAUAUACAUGUCAGUGAUGGACAAUAGCGAAUAUUCAAGUCCUCGAGAAGAGAUGAGGUGUACCUUCCACUGCUGCUGCUACACUGGAUGCCCUCUUCCACUGUCAAAGUCCUUAUAUUAUCACAAUUCUGGAUGUCCAACAUCUUAAGGCUCGGUGCUAGCUGGACUCUAGCAAUAUAUGUCAACGAAUAGCAAUAUGAAAUCCUCAAGAUCUCGAGAGAUGAAUUGGUGUCGCAUAUCCAUGCCUCUGGUAACGAUUUCAGUGCAUCACAUUCUCUAAUCUGAAUUAUCUUCAACUUGGAAGGCAGACCAACCUCAGGAAAGGAAACAAGGGAACUGCAGUUGUAGAUUUCUAUAUCUCUCAAGGAACUGAGGCUGAACGAUGAUUGUGGCAGCUUCACAAGGCCUUCGCAAUAACUCAAUCUUAGAUAUUCAAGUCUGCAUGACAACUCGCAGAGCUGCUGUUGUUGGUCUUUCUCUUCCUCCGCGACCAAGGAUUGAAGUUUGGGACAACUUGUAAUCGUCAGUCUUUUGAGAGAGCAAAUGUCCUGCAGUAAUUCGUUAUGGCUCUUCCAUAUACAUGUUUCAUUUUGAAUAUUAUUUAUCUUCAAUUCUUCCAGUUUUGGUAUUCGCGACUUCAAUGGCCCUGCGAGAAACACUUGAUUUGAUGUAUCUCUACAAACCACUGAAUUCUGUGAGCCGAGAAGAUCAGUUGCACUUCUCCAAACAACCUUUUUACAUCCACCAAUAUGCAAGUUGCAAAGAGCUGGAAGACUCGUAACUGAAACUGACAAUUCUUCACAUCCUUCAAUUACAAGCAUCUCCAAUGCAGCAAGGUGCUCUGGAAAUGUUCCUUGCAGUUUAGAACACCUUAUAAUGCGAAGCUCUCUCAAUUUAGGAAACCCUUCAACUCCCUGACCAGAUCUAAGAGGAAUCCAGUCUUCCCAUUCUCGCAUGUUUUCAAAAUGAAGAGUCUCCAAGCAUGGAAAAUGAAUCGGAGAAUCAUUCCCAUAGAACUCUGAACCCAAACUCUUUACUCUACUCAUUCCACGUACUUCAAGAUGCUUUAGAGAGGGUAGUUGCCCGACUGACGGCAGGGUAGUACACACGCCGCAAUCUUCAAAUUUUAAGGUCGCUAAAUUUGAGAAUGAGGAAUCUCCCAACCAAGUUGGAAAUUCUUUACCUCCAUAGCCACUGACACAAAAUUGUUCCAGAUUUUCAUGAGGUUUUAGCAUGUCGAGCACAUCCUUUUCAGUUUCUGCCUCCCUCGAAGACAAACCAUUGGUACUCAGUGUCCAUCGAAACAUUAACACUUUAAGAUUCUUCUUUCCAUCCAAUUGAGCCUCCUUCGCAUCACCAAUGUCUUUAACGUUCUCCAAUUUUGAAAUGUUAAGUGUCCCACGAAGAUGCGUCAACAAUUUUAGCUCUCGUAUCCCGGAACCACUGUCUUUUCCCACAACAAAAUUACACAGAGUCUGAAGGCAAGUCAACUUACCAAUUCCUAGUGGCAUCUCCUCCAACGAAUCUGUAUUUGAAUUAUUGAGAUGAUGCAAUUUGAUGAGAUUUCCCAUGUCUGCACACAACUUCUUCAGUCGCCGACAGCCCUCCAACAGAAGCGUGUGCAAAUUGUAAAGCGUGUUGACUGAUUCGGGCAGAGUUAUAAUGCCAGUUCCCGAUAAGUUAAGGUACCUUAAAUACCUCAAAUCACCGAUUGUAUCUGGCAGCUCGGAGACGUAAUAUCGAUGCAAAGAGAAGACCCUCAACCGUUGGAGUUUGAACAACUUAGGAAGAAUGCUACGAGCCAAGUAUCCAGACAGAAAGCCAUUUGACAGCCUUACUGGUAAAAAGGUUCGCAAAUGUUGGAUAUCGUACAAGUCCUCAAACCUUUUAACGCCAUCAUAUUCUCCAAAAAUGUACGAUAGAUGACGAAGAUUUUUGGAAAAACUUUGUUGCUUGUUAACUUCCGAGGUAUACUCCAUUGUGAAGUAUAUUUCCCCCGCAGCCCAUUGAGCAAGGUCGCUGAUAAGAUCGUGCAUCACAAAUCGUGAUGCAUCGUUGCUUGAUUGCUGGAAAAAAGAUCUUGAGUGCAGCUCCUUAAAGAUCUUACGACCGAAAUCGUCACAGGAAUUCCCACUCCCUUUGUGAUCCAAGAAACCCGAAGCACACCAUAAUAAAAUUAUCUCCUCCUCUUCAAAUUCAUAAUCCUUUGGAAACAAUGAGCAGUAUGCAAAGCAUUGUUUCAAAGGUGCCGAAAGAUAAUAGUAGCUCACUGCAAGGGCUGGUAUAAUGCCACAUCUCUCUUCUGGUAAUUCCCAUAUCUUGCUAUUGAGCACAUCUUCCCACUCACUUCUGUCAUGAUUCCCACGCAAAAGUCCUCCAAGUGUUUGGGCUGCCAAGGGCAAGCCAUCGCAUUUGGUCACUAUCUUCUUGCCGAUUUCCUCCAGUGACUUAUGUGAACUGAAAUCUCUCGUCCCCAAUGAAUGUUGAACGAAUACAGCUAGACAAUCAUUAUCUGACAACUUCUUUAAUUGAUAAGCCGGAACAGUACCCAUAAUUUUAGCAACCUCUUGAUUGCGAGUAGUGACAAUAAUUUUACUUCCCGGUGCGCCAACUUCAAAGGGACGUCUGAGUUUAUCCCAAUCAUCGUAAUUCCGGUUCCACACGUCAUCUAAAACAAGCAAAAAUUUCUUUCCAGAUAGUUGCUUAUUCAGUUUCUCUUGAAGUGAAUUCAAUUUGAGAUUAUCUACGUUCUGGUCAGCAACAAUGGAUGUUAAGAUUGUUUUUGUGAGCCUGAUAACGUCGAAAUCAUCAGAGACACAAGUCCAUGCCUUGAGAUCAAAAUGAUCCAGCACUUGCUUAUCAUUGUAGACAAGCUGAGCAAGAGUGGUUUUGCCCAGCCCGCCCAUACCUAUGAUAGGAAUUACAGAGAAUUCACCAUCGUUGCUUAAAUCAUCCCUCAACAGCAGUUCUACAACAUCCUUCUUUUCUGUUUCUCUGCCAUAUACUUUGGCUUCCUUCACCAAAGAAGUUGUCUCUCGCCUUUGCCUGUCUUUUAUGGUCCUCCCACCUGAACUUACGUUCAAACCCAGCGAAUCCUUCUGAGUUACAAUUUCUUGAAAUCUGCCGUCGAUCUCUUUGAUUUUGGACAUUAUGGCGUAAUCGAACUGAAUCGAUUGUGGAGCAAAAGUGGUGCAGCAAGUGGGAAUGAGCUUCCGAAACUUACUUGUUCUUGUACGACUGCUACUGGGUUGAUCAAGAGCAGCAGCAGGUUCUCCAUUUCCAAGCAGCAACUUCCUCCGGAAAACCUCAGUUUGAAACUCAUCCAACAGGUCCUCAACAUCAUAAGCCAAGUUCUGAAGCUUGCCAAGCCACUUCUUCACAAACCGAUUAGUCGUCUUCUUCUCCUCAGCAUCAUCAAGCACCGCCUUGAUCAUCUCCAACAUAUUCUCCCACUUUAUUAGAUCGGCCUGGAUUUGCUCUUGGCGUGCAAACAACCGAAUCCCCUCUGAAGCUAACUUAUUGACCAGCAAAUCAACGGACGCCGUAAGGAUUGCCUCUCCGAUGAAUGACAUUUUUUUUUUUUUGUUUUGCAAAGAAAGAAACAGAAUUUUGAGUUUUGAAAAGCAAAAUGAGAAAAUUGAACGGGUCAAGCAAAAUGCGCGUAACAAGUCUUCCGCUUGUUGUUUAUUCCAAUAAAGUGAAAAUAAAAACAGAGCCCACCACCCAUUGAUAAUUUAGCAAUUCACCANNNNNNNNNNNNNNNNNNNNNNNNNNNNNNNNNNNNNNNNNNNNNNNNNNNNNNNNNNNNNNNNNNNNNNNNNNNNNNNNNNNNNNNNNNNNNNNNNNNNNNNNNNNNNNNNNNNNNNNNNNNNNNNNNNNNNNNNNNNNNNNNNNNNNNNNNNNNNNNNNNNNNNNNNNNNNNNNNNNNNNNNNNNNNNNNNNNNNNNNNNNNNNNNNNNNNNNNNNNNNNNNNNNNNNNNNNNNNNNNNNNNNNNNNNNNNNNNNNNNNNNNNNNNNNNNNNNNNNNNNNNNNNNNNNNNNNNNNNNNNNNNNNNNNNNNNNNNNNNNNNNNNNNNNNNNNNNNNNNNNNNNNNNNNNNNNNNNNNNNNNNNNNNNNNNNNNNNNNNNNNNNNNNNNNNNNNNNNNNNNNNNNNNNNNNNNNNNNNNNNNNNNNNNNNNNNNNNNNNNNNNNNNNNNNNNNNNNNNNNNNNNNNNNNNNNNNNNNNNNNNNNNNNNNNNNNNNNNNNNNNNNNNNNNNNNNNNNNNNNNNNNNNNNNNNNNNNNNNNNNNNNNNNNNNNNNNNNNNNNNNNNNNNNNNNNNNNNNNNNNNNNNNNNNNNNNNNNNNNNNNNNNNNNNNNNNNNNNNNNNNNNNNNNNNNNNNNNNNNNNNNNNNNNNNNNNNNNNNNNNNNNNNNNNNNNNNNNNNNNNNNNNNNNNNNNNNNNNNNNNNNNNNNNNNNNNNNNNNNNNNNNNNNNNNNNNNNNNNNNNNNNNNNNNNNNNNNNNNNNNNNNNNNNNNNNNNNNNNNNNNNNNNNNNNNNNNNNNNNNNNNNNNNNNNNNNNNNNNNNNNNNNNNNNNNNNNNNNNNNNNNNNNNNNNNNNNNNNNNNNNNNNNNNNNNNNNNNNNNNNNNNNNNNNNNNNNNNNNNNNNNNNNNNNNNNNNNNNNNNNNNNNNNNNNNNNNNNNNNNNNNNNNNNNNNNNNNNNNNNNNNNNNNNNNNNNNNNNNNNNNNNNNNNNNNNNNNNNNNNNNNNNNNNNNNNNNNNNNNNNNNNNNNNNNNNNNNNNNNNNNNNNNNNNNNNNNNNNNNNNNNNNNNNNNNNNNNNNNNNNNNNNNNNNNNNNNNNNNNNNNNNNNNNNNNNNNNNNNNNNNNNNNNNNNNNNNNNNNNNNNNNNNNNNNNNNNNNNNNNNNNNNNNNNNNNNNNNNNNNNNNNNNNNNNNNNNNNNNNNNNNNNNNNNNNNNNNNNNNNNNNNNNNNNNNNNNNNNNNNNNNNNNNNNNNNNNNNNNNNNNNNNNNNNNNNNNNNNNNNNNNNNNNNNNNNNNNNNNNNNNNNNNNNNNNNNNNNNNNNNNNNNNNNNNNNNNNNNNNNNNNNNNNNNNNNNNNNNNNNNNNNNNNNNNNNNNNNNNNNNNNNNNNNNNNNNNNNNNNNNNNNNNNNNNNNNNNNNNNNNNNNNNNNNNNNNNNNNNNNNNNNNNNNNNNNNNNNNNNNNNNNNNNNNNNNNNNNNNNNNNNNNNNNNNNNNNNNNNNNNNNNNNNNNNNNNNNNNNNNNNNNNNNNNNNNNNNNNNNNNNNNNNNNNNNNNNNNNNNNNNNNNNNNNNNNNNNNNNNNNNNNNNNNNNNNNNNNNNNNNNNNNNNNNNNNNNNNNNNNNNNNNNNNNNNNNNNNNNNNNNNNNNNNNNNNNNNNNNNNNNNNNNNNNNNNNNNNNNNNNNNNNNNNNNNNNNNNNNNNNNNNNNNNNNNNNNNNNNNNNNNNNNNNNNNNNNNNNNNNNNNNNNNNNNNNNNNNNNNNNNNNNNNNNNNNNNNNNNNNNNNNNNNNNNNNNNNNNNNNNNNNNNNNNNNNNNNNNNNNNNNNNNNNNNNNNNNNNNNNNNNNNNNNNNNNNNNNNNNNNNNNNNNNNNNNNNNNNNNNNNNNNNNNNNNNNNNNNNNNNNNNNNNNNNNNNNNNNNNNNNNNNNNNNNNNNNNNNNNNNNNNNNNNNNNNNNNNNNNNNNNNNNNNNNNNNNNNNNNNNNNNNNNNNNNNNNNNNNNNNNNNNNNNNNNNNNNNNNNNNNNNNNNNNNNNNNNNNNNNNNNNNNNNNNNNNNNNNNNNNNNNNNNNNNNNAUUUGGGUGGUCAUUUUUUUAUAAUAUUCCUUCAUUCAUGGUCAUUAGAUCAAACAAUUCAAUCCCUACUAUAGCUAAUUAACUUAUUGACCAGCAACUUAAAGGAUGCCAUAAGGAUUGCCUCUCCGAUGAUUGACAUUUUUUUUCUCCGUUUUUUGUUUUUUUUUUUUUGGGUGGGGGUGGGGAAAAAGAAACCGAAUUAUGAAUUUAUGGAAAUUAAAGCAAAUAAGAAAGUGAAUUACAGCCGAAUGAGUUUGUGAUUGUGAUAGGUCGGGCAAGUCUAGAAAUCAAUUAGGCAAAACCCACCACGAAAGUUAAAAAGGAAAAAUAGCGCCCACCACAAAUAUAGAAUUGGAGGAGCUCACGACCAUGCCUUUGCUUUACAUAUUAAAUUAAAUAAAAGCCAAACCAAGAACCUUGCCUUUGCUUAACAUGAUUAAUUAGGCACUACUUCAGAAAGAAUCACGAAAGAAAUGAACCCUUUUAUUAAUCUUUAGUGUCAGGAAUAAAGCUACAUUUUCUCCUCUUACCAUCUGUUCACGUUCAUUUCAAAAGUUUGAAGAGAGUUUAUCCAUUCUUCUAAACUAAAAAAAUCAACAUUCUUGCUUUCUUCAAAUGUUGAAUAAAGAAAAAUAAGGAAAAAAUUAGAAUGUAUCUACCUUCACUAACCUAAAAUAAAAAAAAUUUAAUCUCUCUUUUAUUACUCAAGUACACUAUUUUUUUAAUAAUUGUAUUGACAAUGACAAUAUAUAUCAUCGAUUAUAUUCUUGUUGUGUUGAAAUAAGAUAUAAAAAAUUUUGGAUCAAGAGGAAUCGAUCGACUCAUUAGUUAAAGGUAUAUAUUUAAUAUACUAAAAACAAAAAUUAACAUAACACGAUUAUUACACUAAAGUGAAAUGAAAGCCAGUACCCACCAGUUCACCAACAGUAAUUUAGCAAACUUUGCAUUCUCGAGUUUGAGGAAAUGGACAUUGGUAAAUUAACCAAAGGACCAAUGAAAGAAUUUUAAAUAACAAAAUGGAGACUACACAUGUUUUUUCUUUUUUUCCAUAUAAUUGUUCAGGAAAUGGAACUAAUUUUGAGACAUUUUCAAAUAAACUUAUUUUCAAAAGCAAUACAAAAGGAUUUCGUUUUAUUUUGAAACAUUUCAUGGAAUCAAUUCACAGUAAAAUAAAUAGAAAAGUGGUAAUUCUCUCAUUUUAUUAUUUUCUUUUUUAAAAGGAGAUGAUGGGGUUGGGUUGUUCACCAAAUUAUUGGUGCGGGGUCUAUUUGUUUUUGUUUUAACUUUAUUAAUUAAUUGGCGAAGCAAACAUGUAAUGAUUUGUAAAAAGAUCACUAGCAUCAGAUUACUGGGAGGUAUUAUGGAGAAGUCACGCUUAGUAUUUACAAUUCAUGUAAGAUGAAUUUGUAAGACUUAUUAAUUUCGAUGAAAAUGUAGAUUUAUUAAGUUACUAACUCAUUAAGUUAACUUGAGAUAUUAAUAUUUAUUAAUUGUGGAGAUUAAUUUAUUUAACUUGUCAUGAUUUUCAAUUAAAAAUGAAGUUCAGUCAAUUUAUGGAAAGAACGAUAAUUUUUUUUUUUCAGAUUUUUAAUUCCUAGGAUUUGAUUUUACUUUGUUUCGAUUGUCGAUGUUGCUGAAGAGGCAGUGAAAGUUUGUUGAAUGCCAUCAAAUGCUUGGAUCUUAUCUCACAAAAUGUCAAUAUCGGUUUGUUUCCCCAUAGGCGCAACCAUCACAAAUUGAAAGUAACAACAUGAUGAACAUAUAACAUAUACAUAUUUUACCAUUAAUUAUAUAAUUGCUAGUUAUUUUUAUUUGUUAUUUUUAAUUAAUUAAAAUAUUUUACUGAAUAGGAAAUUAAUUGGAGAUUAUGGAUAAAAAGGGCCUGAAGAAGUUUAAUUUGGGAAACAAUAAAAAUUAAAUUGAAAGACAAAAAUAUAGAUAAGGAUUAAUGGAAUCCGAGCCGAAAAAAUCAAAGCACAAGGAUUUUCUUAAUGUCAUUAUUUAGGCAAGUGUUUUGAUGCAGUAGAAGUUUAUAGUUUCAAUAUUCCAUUGAUUUUUAGAAAAUACCUGAAUAAAUGGACAAACUAAAUUCACGUUGAUUCAAAAGAAUGGUGCGAAUUUAGGGGUUAAGACUCGUUGAUUCCGUAAAAUACCGAGAAUUAUCUAACUCAAAUACUCACCUAGAGUUUUGAAAAUUAAAAUAUUAUUGAACUCAAAAUCUUUGCUUGUAAAAUCUUUAAUAAUUUACAUAAUUAUAUAAAGUGUGUAUAAACUAAUGUGACAUAAAGAGAUUGGUUGUAUUAAACUAUCAUGAACCCACAUAAUUGAAAAAAAUAAUUGUUAUUACUUUUUAGUUAAUUUUUUCAUGUCACAUUAGUUUGUGCAUAUUAGUUUGUACAAAACUGUUUGUAUCUCUAUUAUUAUUGUUAUAUUAAUUCUUCAAUUUUCUCAAAAAUAUGAAUAUGGGCAAGGUAUUCAUUCCUAUUUCAUCAUAAAUAAAUAAAUAAAUUUCAUUGUUUAUCUUAUCAACCAUUUGAGAGUACGGAGGUUGGUUAAUUCCAUUCGUAUGAAUUAUCUACAGGUAAAUCUUGCGUUUACUUUUUGGAUUGGAGUGGGAAUCCUGAGGAGUGGGAAUCCUUGGAUUAGGAGUGUGGAGUGAGAGUGAGAGUAGGGUGUUUACUUAGACUAAAUGAAAGUAUGGAUUGUCAAUCAGAAUCUCAAUUAUUUGUUUAUUUUGUCUUGGAUUGGGAGUAAAUUAUUUUAAAUUACAAUUUUAUCCUUAUGUAAAGAAUUAUAAUUUGUAAUUAAAAAAUUAAUAAAAAAUAUAUUUGGAAAAUAAAAUAAAUUUUUAUUAUAUUUAUAAAUUAAUAAUAUUCUUAAUUAUGUAAAUCAUAAUUUUUUAUUAAUUUUAAUUUAAAUUAUGUUAAUAAAAAUUAUUAAUAAUAGCAACACAAAUGAAAUAUUAUUAUUGAUAAUAUAGUAUAAAAUUAAUAUUUUUUAGAAUAAAAUAUUUUAUUAUUAUUAAUUAAUUAAAUAAUAUUUAUUAAAAUUAAUGUUUAAUAUUAUUAAUUUAAAUAUAAUAUUUAUUUAUUUUUAUUUUAUUAAAUUUAAUAAAAUAAAUAUGUUAUAAUUAUUAUUUUUAAUAAAUAUGAUAUUAUUUAUUUUAUUAAAUAUAAUAUUAUUUAUUUUAUUAAAUAUAAUAUUAUUUAUUUUAUUAAAUAUAAUAUUAUUUAUUUUAUUAAAUAUAAUAUUAUUUAUUUUAUUAAAUAUAAUAUUAUUUAUUUUAUUAAAUAUUAUUUAUUUAUUUUAUUAAAUUUUAUUUAUUUAUUUUUAUUAGGAAGGUAAAAAGGGAAGAGGGGGGAGUGGAUUCCCACUCCCACCUCCCCCCAUGGGAGUGGGAAUCCCACUCCCCACUCUAAAAUUAAGUGGGAUCCAUGGAGUGGGAAUCUCACUCCCCCUAUUUUAAGGUAAGUAAACACUGGAGUGGGAGGAAUCCACACUCCACACUCCCAAUUUAGAAAGUAAACACUACCUAAAGGUAUUUACAGUCAGGAUUUUUUUUUCCAUGUAACCUCAAAUGCACUAUGCAAUAAAAUAUAAAUAUAAAUAAAGCAAGCAGUUACUAAGUCUUUAGGUUGUUAGGCAGAUGCUAAGGCCUUGUCCUGAAUAAGCCCAGCAAUUCAAACUUAAGAUUACACUAUAAAAAGGGGGCGCAAAGGCAAAGAAAGUGGCACGGCAAGUGCAGCGAAGGAAGCAAAGGAGAGCAUGUCACACUGAGAUUACAUGUCUGAUAUUUGGCUCCGCUUCUUCCCUUUAAACACCUCGAAAUAAGCAUCAAGGAAGUGGUCUUGUCAUCAUCUUCUUCCAGUACAUCAAUGGAGAAACAACAUUCGAACACAUGGAAAUAAGAAAAAUCAUUAAAAUUGACUACUACUGUUGCAUAUUCAUAAUAUGACUGCUGGCUUUUCUUCUAUCUCAGUUUUUUUCAGAGCUCAACUAAGGGCAGUUUGAUGCUGUCAUUGGAUAGCAGUAGCUUGAAAAACUACAGUACUUUAGUGGUUAGUAAACACUUAUUGCUAUAAUUUGGAAUUUAGGUUCAUUUUAUCCGAUACUCGAAAUACGCUAAUGGGAAAAAUAGUCAAAACUCAGGUAAUUUUUUCAUUUCUCUUUUUAUGUUUCUAAACACAUCAAAACUCUCUCUUGAUGUUUAAAAAAAUUUAUUAACUUUUAACUUUUAUUUGUGUCCUUUCUUAUUUCAUCCAUGAUGUCGUAAAACCCACUGUUAAUCAAUAAAAAUUUCUGAAGAUAGAAUAAUGAAGGAUACAAAAAAAUUUACAAGCCUUUUGUAUAUGAUAGUUGACUAUGUGUAUCGGGACAAUGUUGUGAGCAUUAGAUUGGACAAGUUAUGAAUUUUUAUCAGUCUAGCUCAUACGCAAAAACUUUGAAAAACUUUGAAAAGAAUAAGUUAUCCAUAUAACACAAAAUCACCAUUUAUACUUAGCUCAUUUAUAUUUUUUAUGGAUAUGAAUGUAAAUUUCUGCCUUUGGAGAGUAAUAAUAAUCCAAUAUCGUCGACGUGGCCGUUGCAGUUGCCGAGUCGAUGCAAAAAGAGCAACGGCGAUUUGUUGAAGAGAAGCAACAGCAACUGAAUAAUAAUAUAACAGCAACAACAACGUUGAUUCUUCGAAAGAGAAAAGAGUCAAAUCCGGCAAAAAGGCCAAGGCAAAAGCAGCCACCGUGUCGGCGCACGAGGCUUUUUAUUCUAAAUUGAAAAAGAAAAAUUGGGUAAUUAACUUAACUUAUCAAGGAUAACAUUGUCAUAUCACAAAAAAUAUUUUAUUUUGAUGAAUAGUUACAGUUUGUAAAAUAAUUAAAUCAAUUAAGAAAAAUAAGGGCAUUUUCAUUGUAAAAUAACGUAAUUUUUUAGUGUUAGGAGUAAGUGUAGCGUUUUUAAAUUUAAAGAGGCAAGCUAGAGGAAGAUGGAGCUGUCAACUUUCAAGUAAUGUAUGCAUCAAGGUAAGUGACAGAGCUAAGGAGAAAUGGACAAGUACUAAUCAUCGUUAUAAAAAAUUAAACAGAGCAGCAUUUUGUCAGUUCUGGCCAUAUAUAUUUUUCAAGGAUUGGGACUGUUAGCACCGCUGUAAUUUUAUUUUCAAGCUCUUCUCUGUCAAAACCUAUUUUACUUUCCAAAAUAUCUUAUUCCAUUUUUUUAGUUUCUUUCUGAUUCAAGAUUUUUUUUUUAAAAAAAAAAAAUCUGUUUCUUCCAAACAACUCCAAUUACAAUUUUUUUUUAUAAAUUUUUGAAUUAUUAAAUCAUAUAUAGUUAACUAAAGAGAAUCAUAUAUACAAACUAAAUAGAAUUAAAAGUGGACUCAAAUGGCUAUUAUGUUAUUUUUUUCUAAAUUAAAAAAAAAAGUUUAGAAUCAGAGCCUCCUUGUAAGCCAUAAAAAAAAAGAAAAGAAAAGUUUAUAAUGCAAAAGUAUUUGUGAGAAAAAAAAAAAACACUUUGAUGUAGUUGCAUGAAUGUAAAGAGUUAGAUAGAGAAAUAGAGUGUAUAAUUAGAUUUAUUUUUUUCUUUAAAGUAAUCGCAAUAUAAGAGGGGUUAAGAAUUUCACAGGAGUGCCACUGAUUCAACUCUUUUUCAAGAGAAUUGAUGUUCUGGAAGAAAAUUAUGACUCUAUCAUUGCUAUUAGUUUGUCUUGUAAUUCAAUUAUUGCCGACAAGUAUUAACUGUGAUUAUUUUUAUUUUAAAAAUUAUUAUUAUUAAUGUAUUGCAAUUUUGAGCCUUAUAAUUGCAAUUAGUUUGUCUUGUAACUAAAUUAUUGCCGACAAACACUAUCAUGCUGACAAACAAUGCAUGCACGUCCUCAGUCACCCACGUCCUCUACUUGUGUGAAUGUGUAUAUAAAUAUAUCUGGAGCAUAUUAUAAAACCAGAAGCAAAAGCAACUGAAGUUUUGAAUACGGUUCACCAGAAGUUAGAAGAUAUCUUUUCUAAUUUGAAGAAUAUGGAAACUCCUUAUCCAGGUUCUUAGGCCAUGUUCAGCUGAAUGUCACUUAUAAUUUUUAUUUUAAUAUAUGUAUUUAUGAAUACAAUUGUUGUUAUGAUUUUUUCAGGUAAGAACGAAUGGUCAGAGGGUAACCCAAUAACUAUGUACAGCAUUAUUAAUGAUGAGAGCGUGAAUGACAAUCUGGAUCUUAUUGUCGUCCCUCAAUACGGAAGAAAUCUCGAUCACACUGGUUAAGUGCUAUCCUACUCUUUCGUAUUAUGUUCAAUUAAAUAAAAUGAUGGGUUAUUAAUACCUGUCAAUUAUGUGAGUGUCUCUGUUUGGUUUAGUUCAACUUAUAAAAUCUCUUGAAAUAUACAAGAGAUUUUCUUUAUUUACGUUUGUGUACCGUGUCUUCUUGAAAAAAGAAAUUAAUAAAAAAUAUCAUUGUGUGAUCCUUUUCUUUCCCCUACUGCUGUAGCAUCAAAUCCUUAGAAUUAGAUAUCAAGUGGUAUUCGAGCCGUCAAAUGAUCCGUGGCAACACGCAACAAAUCAAAUGCUGAAUUUCGCGAAGAGAUUAACAAAAUCCUUGCUAGACACGAGUCUAGCUUUGACCAAGUUGACGCCACCCUUCAAACAAUCCUUACUGAACUUCAAUCCUUGCAUCUCCACUCUCCAAUGUACUUCCCCAGAGGGGAGACCAACCCAUUUGCUACAGCUCACAUCUCUUCACGAUACUGGUUAAAAGCAUGGGGGCAUUAGUCGAAGACGCUUCUUGGGAAAACCUUUAGCGAUUCUCAAAGACUUUGACAUUGUGGACAAAGUGGUUGCAAGGGGUGGGGAUUAAUAUGUCUCCAAACGACAAGCAGCCAUGCUCACUGAUUAUGUGUGCAAUAUUCCCGUAUUUCCCAUUAUUUCCUGUACUUUAUGCAUUAUUGUUUUGUAUGUCUUUUGGUGUUUGUGGUGUAGUUAGGGAUGGUAGCGGGUAGGGUCUGGUACGGGUUUGACAUCACCAAACCCGCAUCAACAAAAAACUUUAAUUACUAGAUUCGCUGUGGGUUAUAUUUAAUUUUAUUUUUUAAACAAAGCCCAUUCACUGUGGGUUUGAUUGGUGCCUAGUAGAUAUUUUGCGAGUUCCCACAUAUAAAAUCACACUAGCAACAAAAUCUAAAAAUUUAAAUUACGUAAUUCAAAUUAUAAAUUUAUAACUGUUGCCUAAAAAUACCACAUAAAAUACUUAAUUGUAGAUUUUAUCAAUGUAAAUGAGAAAUGAAAAUAUCAACAUUAAAAAAUACACAAAAUAUAUCAAUUUAACACGAAUUUUCAAAUUCAAUUACCAAAUAAAUAAGUUUAUCACAACUCGAAGUGCUUUCAAUUGAAAAAGAAAAAAGAGAAAGAGAAAAAAAUAAAGAACUACAAAUCAAAGUAGCACCCAUGACCUAUUUCAUAGGCUCAUUCAACACCAAGAUCUUAGAAUUAAGAUCUUCAAUUCAUCCGUUACCACUAGCACCCAUUCAACGUGGUUUUUCUAAACAAAAAAUAAAGUACAAAAUUACAAUAAGCAUAUGAUACUCCAUGCUUUAAGUUAAAGAUCCUUCUAUAAUUUUAUGAAUAAUUUUUUAGUGAAAUUUUAUGAUUAAAGUUAAAAAUACAAAUAUUAAAAUAAGAAUGUUGGACGCCUUCGCAACUAUUUGCCAAUUUUUUUUUCUAUAUAAAAAUUCACCUGCAACUUAUAGCAGGUUUAAAUUUAUAAUAUCAAACUUGAUUGUGGCUCGCAAAAUUUUUGGAUUUGCGAUAAUUUUGCCACCCUAAGUGUGGUUAGUGUGUUUCCAUUGGCUCUUUAUAAAAGCCUAGAAGUUGUUUGAAUAAUGAGGGAGACAAAUAUUUCCCAAAGAUAUUCUCUUUUUCAAAUUGUUUUCAAAUAUUUCCCAAAGAUAUUCUCUUUUUCAAAUUCUUUUCUUUUCUCUAUUAUUGUAACUUCAAAUCCUUGAAAUUACAUAUUUCAAAUCCUUGACAUGAGCACAAUGUUUUGACAUAGUGGCUUUUGGCUUGUCUAGAGAAAUUUAGGAUAGAUUUUGAUGUAUUAAGGCUCGUUUUACUAUUGAGAUUUUGGAACUUUUGAGCCACACUUGAAAUUUGUAUUGUUCUAAUAGAGUUGUACCCUUCGAUAUGUGAUUGGUAUUAAUCAGGUGAUAUGUUUACAGCAGUUAAAGGCAUAUUGAAUCAAAGUCCACUUUUGAUUGAGAUUUUAAAGUAUGUUUUUAAUUUGAUAGCCACUCAAGUUCAAAUAUUGGAACCACAGUGCUUUAUAACCAAGUGAGAGAAUUUGUGUCCUGAAGGUUGAGGGCUGCAAAUCGAGUUUUACUACCAACAAAAGUUGGUGUUAAGACUUUAGUUGCCCUCCUACUUAUGGAUAAGGAUAAUUAGGACUUUACAUCCCCUCCUACUAAUAGAUAGGGGUUAUUAGGAAUAUUAAAAAAAGGUUCAAAUAUUGAAAAAAUAGGUAUGGGUUAUAAAAUUCAUAAUACAAGAACAAGAAAUCAAGAUAAAAAUUUAAAAAUUAGAACCAUGAGAGCGUAACUUGUAAGUUUCAAAGAAUCAUGUGCAAACAUAUGCAUAUCGAUACCCAUUAGGGGUGGGCAUUAAGAUCGGGUUAACCCGAACCGAACCUCAAAUUUAUUUUGGGUUCAAUUUGAUUUUGGUUGAACCUUUCAACUGAGUUGAAAACUUAUAAACGACUGUGUUGUAUUUCUGUUCGAAUUUAACAACAAACUAAGCAACCUAAUCAACUUAAGUAAGCAAAUUUUAAAAAAAUCCCAAAAAAUUAAAUCUAACCCUAAUUAAAAAAAUUCAACCGCGGCCUCCUUCUCGUCUUCUUUUCUUCUUCUUCCUCUUGCUCACCCCUAAUGCCCCAUUAAUGGAAUUCCAACAGCUAGAAACGCGUUUCACCCGCUUGCGCGUGUGAGAAAUUUUCCCUCCCAUAGGAUUGUUCGUUUCCUUGGCUUGCAUCCCGGCAGGAUACUCAAGCCGGGCAUUUUUCGGGGCCUAGCCCACCUAUAAGUUUUACCAAAGCCCAAUCACAAGUUCAUAAUGUUUAGUGGUUACUAUUGCUAUAUAUAUAUAUUUUUUAAACCAAUUUUCACAUUUAUUAAUAUAGCCCAACAGAUUUUUCCAAAAAAUAAAAUUAAAUAAAAAUACAAGCCCACGAAAUUCCUUUUCCGAUUUUGGAAUCCACCUGCACCUUUCACUUGCUAGGCUUUAACCAAACAGACGAUGUUAUACAAACUUCUAUCCAAUAAGGCAAUGCAAACAAAAGCAAGUGAAUUAAAAAUAAAUAAUUUCUCAUUAAUUUGCAACAAGUAUUAAUAAAGUGCAUCAGAAAAUAUGCAUUUUUUAAAAUGAAAAUAAAUGUGUUAAUUAGUCAAUUUAAAUGGUACGAUGUUUUGAAAUGAUAGAAGCGAUCUGGAGUUUAAGGUGGCGUUUAUUUUUUUGUUUGAAAUCUGAAUAGAGCUGAAUUAGUCUGAAUUCUGAAUAGAUCUGAAUAUCUGAAUCUGAAUAAUAUGUUUAUUUUUUCGUCUGAAUCUCGAAAAAUAAGUAUUAAGUUAUUUUUUUUUCAACUUAAAAACAUGAAAAUAUGUACUUUUACAUUUGUAUCCUUAUUAAAUUUGAAUGUCAAAUAAAUAAUAUAUUAAAUACCACAAUAUUUUAAGAUUUAUAAGUAAAAUUGUAUUCAAGUGAAUACAUAAUUAUUUUAAAAUUUUAAUAUAUAAAAUACCAUAAAUUUCAAAUUUUAUUGUAUAUAAAUAAGAAAGAAAAAACAGAGAUAUUUUUAUGUGGGGUAAAUAUCUAUGGGUGAGUUUUGGGAUAGACACGAAAAAUAAAUUAUAAAGCAGGGAUAUUUUUGACAUUAGUAAAUAAUUGACUUAAUUCAGAUUUCUCCAUUAAGUAAAAAGCCAAAAAAAUUGGCUUAUUUUAUUAAGUCAAAAUUAUCUAAAAAGUCUCAUUAAGUUAUAAAAACAAACAUCUCUAAUUAACUUAAUCAAUUAAGUUAAAUUACUUUAAGUUAUUAAGUUAAAAAACAAAAGCUACCUAAAUCUUACUCUUGACGUAAUAUUUAAUAACGAAUUUGAAGAACAAUUAAAAAUUAAAAGAAAAGAAAAAGUGCUUUCUUUUUUAACGAUGAUAAUUUGUUCGGAUGAUGAAAAUUCUUAGAGUGGUAUAAUAAGUAUUUUCGAGUGUUGCCAUCGCGAAUAAUAUUUAAUUUCCUUUAUAUAGUUAUAUCUCAAGUAACAUUUAAAUAGAAGCAAGUUGGAAAUUAAAAAAAAAAAAAGAACCAUUGAGAGAAUGAAAAACUAACCAAAAAAAAAAGUUAAAAAUUUGUAUCUCAAUAAAUUUACUUGAGAGCUACUCUACUAAUCCGUGAAGAGAAAACACAAAGAAUAAUGAUGUAUCUCAAUUAAUAGGACAAUUUUUGUAUUUUUCUUUUAUUCAAGAAUCAUGAAACUUCAUUUAAACUUAUUAUUUCAUUGAUAAUAUAUUAAUAUUGAACAAUUUAGGAGACAUUCCUUUCCAAUUAUGCCCAUGUAUUAAUUAAAAACCACAAAUACGUUCAGGGAUACUAUAGUAAUUUAAAUCAACAAUUUCUGUGCUUGAAAUCAUCCGAUUAGACUCACGUCAGAAUAAACUGAGAUAUCAAAAUCACAUUCUCCAAUUCUACGAUUUCAAUUCAUCUUCAUAACUUCAACUGAAGAAUUGAUUGUAUAUCGUUUUAAUUUUUUUUAUAUAAAGAUAAAUAUAAAAUAUAAAUGACGAGGAGACUGGAAAAGUAAAAUAAAAAAAAGAGCACGAGUUUUAUUGAAAAUUACUCUUUUUCAUCAUUUUGCCGAAGUGAAUGUAUCUACAUUUAAACGAAAGAAGCACAUUUGUUUGUAUUAGCUUUUUUAUUGUAUUUUUAAUAAUAAGUCAUUUUUCAAUGAACUUAUAUCAUUUUUUACGAAAAUAAUAGGUGUUAGUUAGUUGAUUCAAAUGGCAAGACCUCUUGGGAUAGAGUUUGUAAUUUAGUGGCUUAUCAAUUGUUUAAAUAGGUAUUAUUAGAGCCAAAUUAUUGUAUUUGGUUAAAAAAGCUCCUACUUAGCUUACAACUUUAUUAUCCUAUUAUGUUUAUUAAUAAAUAACAAUUUUAUUGAAAAAAAACAGGAUCUGUUGAAAUGGUACAAAAAAUUUGGGAUCUAAAUCUCACUCGAAUUUAGCUUGAGGUUGGCAUUGUUAGCAUAAUAUUUGAAGAUAGAUUUUUUAAAAUUAAAAAAAAAAAAUUGGGUUCACACUAGUUAGUUUUAACUCAUAGUGAGAUUUAAAAAAAAGCGGAAUAAUAAAUCUUGAUAUCCUAAUUCAUGGAUAACAUCUACAUAAAAUAGUAAAAUUUAUUGUGUCGAAAAUAAGGGGUUUGAAGUUUAAUUUCGCUCACAUAGGUAGCAAGAGAAUCAAAUUAUUAUUAGAUUAAAUUAAUUAAAAAAAUUAUCUGAUAUCCAAAACACAGCAUAUCAAAAAAAUUGAAAUAAAAGAAAAUUGAAAAGCAAAACGAUUGAGAGAACGAAAAACUAACACAAGAAAAUGCCGAUAAUUAAUUGCCUCAGCGGGCACCAACUUAAUUAUGCUUAUUAAAGCAUGGGUUAUUUCAUUUUCAUUGAUAAUCAUUUUGACACCGGUCAAAUUUAAAAGUUUAAAUAAUGGGGGCCAUUUUUCUUUCCAGCUAUGCCCAUUAGCUAAUAAAAGAACCGCCGAAAGGGUUCGGGGAUAAUAUAGUAAUAUGAUUGAUAAUCAUUUUGGAGCUGAGAGUUCCACAUUUUGGGUUUUGGUUGACCAUAUUUUAAUACUUUUUCUGGAAAACAAAUAUAUAUUUAUUGACUUGUAAUGGGUGCAACUCAUGUUUUUGAAACAUUAAGAUCUUUACUUACUUACACUAAUGCGGCAACUGCUGCUUUGCUUUUUUUUUUUGUCCUUUUGCUUUUGACUUUUAUUUUUACUUUUUGACUUUUGCUUUUGGUUAAUAAUAAUAAUAAUAAUAAUAAUAAUAAUAAUAAUAAUAAUAAUAAUAAUAACUUUUUAAUUUAAUAUAAUAUUAAAUAAUUUAUUUUUAUUUUUAUUUGAAUAAUAUUAAUUUAAAAUUAAUAAUAAUAUAAAUAAUAAUAUAAAAUAUUAAUACAAUUUAAAUAUAUUAAUAUAAUAUAAUAUUUAAUUUAAAUUAAUCACAAAAAAUUAAUACAAUACAUUGUAGCAUCAAAUAUUAUACAAUAUUAUUAAAAUACAGUAGUGAUACAAUUUGAGGGAGAGUGUCAGCUUUUUCGAAUUAAAAAUAAUAUAUACCGCUUACUCUUUAUUAUUUUUAUAAUGUUCAACAAUCCCCUUGAGAUAAAAAAAAAAUUAAAUGAAAAGAAGGAGUAAAUAGAUGAUUUGCUUGAUGUUGUAUCUUAGAAAUAUAAAAUAUAUAUUUAUUAUUAAAAAUAUUUAAAAAUAAUAAAGAGUACAUAAAAAAAUAUCUUAUCCUCAACAACAAGAUCAGACGACGUCAAUCCAGCAAAAUGACUUGAACAAUUUGAAAGUCCAGCAACGGUCACCUCUUGGCACAUAUAUGGCAACGAGGUCUCCCAAAAGGACGAUUAAGGAAAGAUUGCAAGACAGAAUCAUGAGUGUUAGAAAUCACAUCCCUGUACUAAUUUCCAGAAAUAUGUUUGUUCCAUAUUUGCCGUACAUGUAUGUAUUCUAUAUAAUGGGAAUAGAAAGAGCGUGUAAAAAAUUCUUCAUUCAUCAAUUAAAACUUAACUUAUGUACGAGGGUUAAGUGUAGAGUUUUUAAAUUUGAAAGGGAUAAGUAUUAUAGUCCAUUUCAAUUUAGAUACAAGUACUUCGAACUUAUAUUUGAGGCAAAAAUCUGUAUACCAUAGUACAUAUUAUAUAUCCAGUCAUGGGAUCCAUGCAUGGUUCCAUGUAAUUCGCAGAGUUGAACUGGAGACACUGAUUAGUUGGUUGUCUACUUACCAACUUAUGUACUACUAAGUAAUUUUUUGUAUUAUGGUUCAAAAGCAUAUUAUCAAACCAGAAUCAGAAGCAACUUAAGUUUUGAUUACGGUUCACCAGAAGUCACAGCUAGCAAGUGAUCCUUGCAUCAUUUUACUAAACAUACAAUGAAUUUAACCCUUGUAAUUUCGGCCUUUGCCAUAGUCGUUUUGUUUAUUAGGUUUAUGUUUAUCAACAUGAUAUAUUGUCAACCAUAAUCACAAUCAAGUUGUUAAUUAUUUUUUAAAUAAUGUGAAGGUACAAGAUUUUGGUCUUUGAGUGUGGGGUUAAAAAUAUCUCACCUCAAUAUACGGUGUUGUGCUCUCAUCAUCUUAACAUUAUUUGUUAAAAAUUAUGUCAAAGAGGAAAGCAGAUUCAAACAUUACUUCAAUUUUCUUUAAGAGCAUAAAAAAAUCGUUAAUAGGCUACUGUUAUUUGUUAGUACGAUUUCACAAAAGGAAGCUGGAGGAAGCUUUCAAGUCAUGUGUUCAUCAAAGUAAGAAACAGAGCUAAUGGGAAAUUUUCAUAAGAGUGCCAAUAUUUCAACUCUUUUUCAAAUGAAGUGAUGUCCUGGAAUAAAGGACUUGACUAGCUUACAGAUUCUGUAAGCUACAGACUGCAGCAUCAGCCGUUGGAUGUGGUUGGACGUGGAGUGAGAAACUAAACAAUAGAAAAUCGGAUGGUGGGAUGACGGGAGAUGUUUGUUACAGAAUCUGUACCAUAGACAGGUCCUGGAAUAAAAUCACUACUCUAUCAUUGCUAUUAGUUUGUCUUGUAAUUCAAUCAUUGCCGACAAGUAUUAAUUGUGAAUAUUAUUAUUUUAAAAAUAUUAUUAUUAUUAUCGUCGUUAUUCUUAACAGCAAUGACUAGAAUUAUAAUAAUAACAAUAACAUUAAUACAAUAAUAUUACAACAUAAUAAUAUUUUAAUUGAGAGGAUAAGAAUGAAAUUAUGAAAUUUAGGUUGGGUAAAAAUGGUGAGUAUGAGGAAAUUAAUUUACCAUUUUUUAAGCUAAACAAUUUAUAAAUUCCACAUAUUUCAUUUUUAUUUCUCUUAUAUUUUAACAAAUAAACAUUAUCAAUUGUUUUAAUAUUUUAAUUAAUAAACACGGCAUUAACUACGGAACUAAAAGAUCCCCCCCCAAAAAAAAAAACAGAGACGCGUGUAUGUAUUGCUUGUGACAAAUCUCACCCAUGGAAAACUUUGUGAAAGGCAUUUGAAUGUGUGGCCACAUUUAAUGAACGAAACGUUAACUUUAAAAGAAAGUAUGUACUGUGUUCAUUAUUAGGCUUUAGCCUGAUGAUUGCAAUUAGUUUGUCUUUUAAUUAAAUUAUUGCCGACAAACACUAUCACGACCCACGUCCGCUACUUGUGUGAAUGUGUGUAUAAAUAUCCGCAGCAUAUUAUCAAACCUGAAGCGCGAUCAUCUUUAAAUUUUGGUUAGGGUUCAUCAGACGUUGGAAGAUAUCUUUUCUAAUUUGAAGAAGAUGGAAACUCCUUAUGCAGGUUCUUAGGCCAUGUUCAGUUGAAUGUCAUUUAUAAUUUUUAUUUUAAUAUUAUGUAUUUAUGAAUAUAAUUAUUGUUAUGAUUUUUUCAAGUAAGAACGGAUGGUCUGAGGGUAAUUCAAUAACUAUGUACAGUAUUAUUAAUGAUGAGAGCGUGAAUGACAAUUUGGAUUUUAUUCUCGUCUCUAAAUACGGAAAAAAUCUCGACUAUAGUGGUUAAGUGCUAUGUAACUCUUUCGUAUUAUAUUUAAUUAAAUAAAAUGAUUUGUUAUUAUUACUUGUCAAUUAUGUGAGUGUCUCUGCUUGAUUUAAUUCAACUUAUAAAAUCUCUUGAGAUAUAUAAGAGAUUUUCUUUAUUCACUUUCAUGUACAUCAUCUUCUUGUAAAAAGAAAUUAAUAAAAAAAAUAUCAUUGUGUGCAAAGUAUUGACUAAGUUAGUGUAUUCAUGUUAGCUUAAUUGUGCUCUCUCUUCUUAAUUUUUUUGUUUUUUUUGGUUAAAACAAACUCCACAUAUUGUUGGUUAGCUAAUUCUUGCAGCUAGCAAGUGAUCAUUUUCUUUCCCCUACUGCAGUAGCAUCAAAUCCUUACAAUUACAUAUCAAGUGGUAUUCGAGCCGUCAAAUGAUCCAUGGAAACACACAACAAAUCAAAUGCUGAAUUUUGCGAAGAUAUUCACGAAAUCCUUGCUAUACAUGAGUCUAGUUUAUUUCAAACUACGCGUGCAAUGUUCCCGUUAUUGUUUAGUAUGUCUUUUGUUGUUUGCAAUGUAGUUAGGGAUGCUAGCGGGUAGGAUUUGGUACGGGUUUGACAUUACCAAAAGCCGCAUCUGUAAAAAAAUUUUAAUUAUCAAAUUCAUUGUGGGUUUUAUUUAUUCGUUUUUUUUCUUUUAACAAAGCCCAUCAGCUGUGGGUUUAAAUGGUACCUGAUGGAUAUUUUGUGAGUUCCUACAUAUAAAAUCACACUUGCAACAAAACCUAAAAACUUAAAUUACGCAAUUCAAAAUAUAAAUUUAUAAUCAUAGUCUAAAAAACCACAUAAAAUACUUAAUUCUAGAUUUUAUUAAUGUAAAUGAGAAAUGAAAAUUUUAAUAUUAAAAUAAAUACACAAAAUAUAUCAAUUUAACACAAAUUUUCAAAGUUAAUUAUCAAAUACAGAAGUCUAUCGCAACUCAAAGUGCUUUCAAUUGAAAACGAAAAAAGAGAAAGAGAAAAAAAACAAAGAACUACAAAUCAAAGUAGCACCCAUGACCCAUUUUGCAGUCUCAUUCAAUACCACUAGCACCCAUCCAACACGAUUUUUCUAAAGAAAGUAUAAAGUACAAAAUUACAAUAAGCAUAUCAUACUCCAUGCUUUAAGUUAAAGAUCCUUAUAUAUUUUUAUGAAUAAUUUUUUAAUGACAUUUUAUGAUUAAAAUUAAAAAUACAAACAUUCAAAUAAGAAUGUCGGACACUUGCGCAACUAUUUACCAAAUUUUUUCUCUAUAAAAAUCGACCUGCAACUUUCAAUAGGUAUAAAUUUAUAAUAUCAAACUUGAUUGCAGAUCGCAAAAAUUAUCCGUUGCGGCCAAGACUUUGGAUUUGCGAUGAUUUUACCACCCUAAGUGUAGUUAGUAUUGUAUAUCAUGUGGCUCUUAUAAAAAGCCUAGAAGAUGUUUGAAUAACGGGGGAGACACAUAUCUCCCAAAGAUUUUCUCUUUUUCAAAUUAUUAUUUUUUCUCUAUUAUUGUAACUUCGAAUCCUUAUAAAUUACAGAUUGGAGACAUGAACACAAUGUUUUGACAUAGUGGACUUUUGGCUUGUCCAGAGAAAUUUAGGAUAGAUUUUUACGCACUAAGGCUUUAUUUACUAUUGAGGUUUUAGAACUUUUAAGCCACACUAGAAAUUUGUAUUGUUUUGAUAGAGUUGUAGUCUUUGAUAUGUGAUUGGUAGUAAUCAAGUGUUAUGUUUACAAUAGUUAAAGGCAUAUUGAAUCAAAAUCCACUUCUAAGGGCUUGAUUGAGUGAUUGUAAAGCAGGUUUUUAGUUUGCUAGCCACUCAAGUUCAAAUAUUGGAACCACAUAGCUUUAUAGCCAAGUGAGAGAACUUGUGCCCUAAAAAUUGAGGGGUGCAUAUCGAGUUUUACCACCAAUAAAAAUUGGUGUUAAAACUUUAAUUUCCGUCCUAUCAAUGGAUAGGGGUAAUUAGGAGUUUACAUCCCCUCCUAUUUAUAGACAGGGGCUAUUAGGAAUAUUAAAAAAAAGUUCAAAUAUUGAAAAUAUAGGUAUGUUUUAUAAAAUUCAUAAUAUAAAGACACAAAAUCAAGAUAAAUAUUUAAAAAUUUAGAACCAUGAGAGCAUGACUUGUAAGUUUCAAAGAAGUAUGUGCAAAUAUAUGCAUUAUCGAUGCCCAAUUAAGGAUAAGCAUUGAGAUCGGGUUAACCCGAACCGAACCGAACUUAAAAUUGAUUUUGGAUUCAAUUUCGUUAUGGUUGAAGCUUUCAACUGAGUUCAAAACUUAAAAAUGAUUGGGUUGUAUUUCUGUUUGAAUUUAACCCCAAAAGACUAAUCAAUCCAAUCGAGUUAAGUAAGCAAAUUAAGACAAAAUAUCCCAAAAAAUUAAAACUAACCCUAACUAAAAUAUUCGACCGCGGCCUCCUCGUUUUCUUUUCUUCUUCCUCCCCUCGCUCACCCCUAAUGCCCUUCAUGGAAAUCCAACAGCGCCAAACGCGUUUCGGCCGCUCGCACGUGUGAGAAAUUUUCCUUCUCGUAGGAUUAUUCGUUUCCUUCGCUUGCAUGCCAGCAGAAUAUUCAGGCCGAGGAUUUUUCCGGGCCUAGCCCAACUAUAAGCUCGCCCGAAACCCAAUCAUAAGUUCAUAACGUUUAGCGUUUGCUAUUACUAUAAUUUUUUUUAACCAAUUUUCACAUUCAUCAACAUAGGCUGACAUAUUUUGUAGAAAAAAAAUUAAAUAAAAAUACAAGCUCACGAAAUUCCUUUUCCGAUGUGGGAAUCUAUCUACACCUUUCACGUGCUUUUUUUUUUGGUGGUGGGGGAUUCACUUGCUUUUGUUUGCAUUGCCUUAUUGGAUAAAAGUUUGUAGAACAUCGUCUGUUUGGUUAAAGCCGAGCAUGAGUGAAGAAGCGAUCUAAAGUUUAAAUCUUACUCACACUUAAUUUAGGGUUGGGGAUUAAUUGACGUAAUAUGUAUUAACGAAUUCGAAAGACAAUUAAAAAUUAAAAGAAAAUAAAAAAGUGCUUUAUUUUUUAUGAUGGUAAUUUGUUUAGAUGAUGAAAACUCUUAGAGUGGUAUUAUCAAUACAUAGUUUUGAGCGUUGCCAACGUGAAUAAUAUUUAAUUUCCUUUAUAUAGUUAUAUCUCAACUAACAUUUAAACAGAAGUAAGUUGUAAAAAAAAUGAACCAUUGAGAUUUGAGAGAACGAAAAACUAAAAAAAAAAAGUUAAAAAAUUAGAUCUCAAUAAAUUUACUUGAGAGCUACUUUACUGAUUAGUGAAGAGAAAACACAAAGAAUAAUGAUGUAUCUCAAUUAAUAGGACAGUUUUUGUAUUUUUCGUUUAUUCAAGAAUCACGAAACUUCAUUUAAACUUGUUAUGUCAUUGAUAAUAUAUUAAUAUUGAACAAUUAAUGUAGGAGACAUUCCUUUCCAAUUAUGCCCAUAUAUUAAUUAAAGACCACCAAAAAGUUCAGGAAUACUAUAGUAAUUUAAGUCAACAAUUUAUGUGCUUGAAAUCAGCAGAUCAAACUCACUUUAGAAUAAACUGAGAAAUCAAUAUCAUAUUCUCUGAUUCUACGAUUUCAAUUCAUCUUAUUCUUCAACUGAAAACUUGGUUGUAUUUCGUUUUAUUUUAUUUUUAUUUUUAUAUAAAGAUAAAUAUAAAAUAUAAAUGACGAGGAGACUAUAAAAGUAAAAUUAAAAGAAGAGCACGAGUUUUAUUAAACAUGACUCUUUUCAUCAUUUUGCCAAAGUGAAUGUAUCUACAUAUAAACUAAAGAAACACAUUUGUUUGUAUUGGCUUUUUUAUUAUAUUUUUAAUAAUAAGUCAUUUGUCAAUGAACUUAUAUCAAUUUUUACGAAAAUAAUAGGUGUUAGUUAGAUUAUUCAAAUGGCAAAACCUCUUGGGAUAGAGCUUGUAAUUUAGUGGCUCAUGAAUUGUCUAAAUUGACACUACCGAAUUAUUGUAUUUGGUUAAAAAAGCUCCUACUCUGCUUCAACUUUAUUAUCCUAUGAUGUUUAUUAAUAAAUAACAAUUUUAUUGAAAAAAAAGACCUCUUGAAAUGAUACAAAAGAUUUGGGAUAUGAAUCUCACUCGAAUUUAGCUUGAGGUUGGCAUUGUUACCAAAAUAUUUGAAGAUAGAAUUUUUUUUAAUUAAAAAUCAAAAGAUUUUUUUUUUGGGGUUCAUACUAGUUAGUUUUAACUCAUAGUGAGAUUUAAACAAAAACGGAAUAAUAAAUCUUGAUAUCCUGACUCAUGGAUAACGUAUAGAUAAGAUAGUAAAAUUUAUUGUGUCGAAAAUAAGAGGUUUGAAGUUUGAAUUUCGCUCACAUAGGUAGUAAGAGAAUCAAAUUAUUGAUAGAUUAAAUUAAUUAAAAAAAUUUCUGAUACCCAAAACAACAUAUCAACAAAAUUGAAAUAAAAGAAAAUUGAAGAGAAAAACCAUUGAGAGAACGAAAAAUUAACACAAAAAAAUUUCUAUAACUAAUUGUAUCAGUGUGCGCCAACUUCACUUAUUAAAACAUGGUUAUUUCAUUUUAAUGGAUAAUCAUUUUGACACCGGUCAAAUUUAAAAGUGUUAAAAAAUAUGGGCGAUUUUUCUUUCCACCUAUGCCCAUUAACUAAUAAAAGAACCGCCGGAAGGGUUCGGGGAUAAUAUAGUAAUUUAAACUAACAGUUUCUGUGCUUCAAAUCAUCAAAUCAAACUCACACCUCACAAAAGCAGAGAAAUCAAAUGGUUUCCGACUCUACGCUUUAAAUUCAGCUUCAUUUCUUCAACUGAAGAAUCGGUCGUCUCUCAUUUUUUAUUUAUUAUAUAAAGAUAAAUAUCUAAAUUUAAAUGGCGAGAAGAGCGGACGAGGAAUACGAUUACUUGUUCAAAGUGGUAUUAAUCGGCGAUUCGGGAGUCGGCAAAUCGAACUUACUCUCCCGAUUUACUCGUAACGAGUUCUGUUUGGAGUCCAAAUCCACUAUUGGCGUCGAAUUCGCCACCCGCACUCUUCAAGUAACUAACUUUUCCUCUUUCACUUCUCUUCAUUUUUAUUAGUUAAUUAAGAUCCAGUUAAUGUAAUUAAUUUUAUUUAAUCUUUCAAAUAAAGUUCUAGAUUAGGUUAACUUAGAUUCAUGUGAAGUUGAAGUGAUUUACUUUCGAUCUCUUUUUCGUCCUAUGUUUAUUUGUACUUACUAUUACUUUUUUUUGGGUUAAAAUUUUCGUUUUUGAAGUGUUUACUGAAUAAAUUUCUGAGCUUUAUUUGUGUAUGCUGAUUGAUUUGUGAUUUUAAUUUGUGAUUUUUUUUUUUGGAAUUUAAAUUUGAAUGCUUUUUAAGUUGAAUCUGAAUGUGUUGGGCUGCGAUUUAAUUAAGUCAUCUGUGAGCGCCAAAUUGUGAUAGACUGAUAGCUAUAUAUUGGGGUGAAAAUUUGGGAUUUAAAGUUAUGUAUUUAAGAUGCAGUUAAUUCGCAAGUGACAAUUAUGGGCCGGCAGAUUUUGUCAUUGGAAGACUGUUCUCCACAUGUUGAAGUUAGUGAUGCAAGUUGAAACCAAUCUGUUUAAGCUUGGGGUUUCAUGUCUUGAAUCAAGGCUGUGACUUGGGGUGGGUUGAAAGUAUUAUAGCUUUAGCUAUUCCUGAAGUGAUCUGUUUAGACUCACCGUGAUGAGACCGAGUGCUGUACAGUAAAAUUAAAGGAAGUUGGAAAAUAUUUACUUAGCAUUUCGCGUUACUAAUGUUGAACUAAUAAAACCUAGCCCCUAUCCUAGUGAAUUUAUGUUAAAAAGCUAUGCACGCAUUAAGUUAGUGCGAGAGUCUGCUGAAGCAUACGUCAGCUGUGUGUUUGGAGCUGAGUAUUCUUCAUUCCACAUUUUGGGUUUUGGUUGACCUCCAGCAUGACUCAACCCACUUGAGUUAAAAGCCCUAGAGUUACAUUCUACCCAUGAUGUCUUAGGUUUGGAAAAGAUGGGGCACAGGUUACAAAAUUUUUUUGAGUUUUGGAUUGAAGGAACAAAAUUGUUGAUGUCUAGCUCACAAUAUUUGAAGUCACUCUGUGCUUCAUCAUGUAAAAUGGAUUGAAUUGCUGUAAGAUCAGGUCAAAUUAAAAUGUUUAAACUCAUUUUUAAGAAACGAAUUCUCAAUUGGACCAGCCUUUCACAGAAGCUGAUAUCACAGAAGCUUUGAGUCAGAUGCAUCCAACCAAAGCCCCUAGCCCAGAUGGUCUCCCAGUAGUAUUUUUCCAAAAGCUUUAGAAUUCAGUAAGCGAAGGAGUUAUAGCCACUUGUCUGCAUAUCCUCAAUGAUGGAGGUAAUAUUGCUCCUUUGAAUCAUACAUACAUUGCUUUAAUCCCCAAGAUAGCAAAACCUAGGACUCUGAUGGAGUAUAGACCAAUCAGCAUAUGUAAUGUAAUUUAUAGGAUCAUUGCAAAGACUGUAGCGAAUAGGCUGAAGCUAAUCUUAGAUCAUGUUAUUUCGCCAACUCAGAGUGCUUUUAUGCCAAAUAGGCUCAUAACUCAUAAUAUAAUUAUUGGGCAUGAGUGUCUUCAUAAGUGGACAAAGCUAUGUUCCAGAGGUGAGAUAGGAAAUUCUCCCGCACGACACAGCAGAAACAAACUUUCCCUUUCAUUUUCUUUUCUCUUUCUCGCUCUCCAAACAGAGCAAAAGGACCGUCGCAAGAUUCUUCACUUCCAUCCAAAAUCAUGAGCAACGAAUAGUGAGCCUCCCUGUUUCCUUCCUUUUUUUGAUAUUAACAUUGUUAACAUAUACUCAUUUUAAUUUGACAAUACUUCAACUUUUUUUAUUUUUUUGCCUUUUCAUUUUUUUUGUGGAAGCAAUUAUCUGUUCAAGCUGUUGCUUAUCGGAGACUCGUCUGUCGGAAAUUCCUGCCUGCUGCUCUGAUUUGCUGUCUGUUGACUUUUCCUUUCCCUUCUUAUUUUCUUUUUUUAUAUUAAUUACUUUCUAUUUUAGCUUUUUGUUCUCUGAAUUUGUGUUAUUAAAAUGAUAAUUUAGAUGAUAAAUAAUUGUUAUUCUUGUAAAUUUAGGUUUUCAUUACGUUAAUUGUUAGUUUUUAGGUUUAUUAAUGUAAUUUUUUUUGUUUUUUUUUUUCAAUUUUUCAGGAUGAUUCUUAUGUCACCGCUACAUCAGUACCAUUGGAGUUGAUUUUGUGAGUCUCUCUUCUAUAUAUAUGUAUAUAUGUGUAUCAGUUAUAAUAUGAGUCUAUGUACGUGUAUGUAUGUAUGUGUAUGUAUAUAUGGAAAGAAAUGUUGGCAGACUUCAGCAUUUUACUCUUUUUUUUUUUUUUUUGGGCAGAAAAUAAGAACUGUGGAGCUGGAUGGGAAGACGAUCAAACUGCAGAUUGUGAGUCAAAAUUUCCUUUUAUCUUGUAUUGAGAGAAAUUCGAUUUGUCUUAUUUAGUGAAGGUUAUGUUCAAGAACCUUGUCUUAUUUUCUUUGUUUGAAGAGUGAUAUGUUGAAAUGAGUGUAUUUGUCUUAUAAACAUCAUUUAGGUAAUGUCUGAUGUUUGAUUGUUUUUCAUCUGUUUAGUGGGACACUGCUGGACAGGAGCGAUUCAGGACUAUAACUAGCAGUUAUUACCGAGGAGCCCAUGGAAUCAUAGUAAGGAGCCUUCCCGCUUCUUGGUUUAAAUCAGAAAGUUUGUGAUUUACAUGUGACAUCUUAACAACAUUGUACUUUUCAAAAAAAAAAAUAAACAACAUUGUAUGUGUUUAUUAACUUAUUUUUCAUCUUUCGUUAAGCAGUACAUUUUCCAAUAAAUCUGUAUACAAGAUGAUGUAGUCCAAGAAUGGGAGCGAUAAUAUGAUGCAAAUUGUCUAAUAAAUUCUUAUGACAUAUGAUGUUGUCGGAAGUAAAAGUCUUGCAAUGCUCUCUUUUAAGAAAGAAUAAGUGGUAAUUUUGUUUUUCCAAUUUUUUAAUUGAGCAACUGUGUGAGAUUAAUUAAAUGUGUUGGGAUUUCAACAGAUUGUCUAUGAUGUAACUGAGAUGGAGAGCUUCAAUAAUGUCAAGCAGUGGUUGAAUGAGAUUGACAGAUACGCAAAUGACAGUGUAUGCAAACUUCUAGUUGGGAACAAAUGCGAUUUAGUUGUGAACAAGGUUGUGGACACACAGACAGCCAAGGUAUAUUCAUGACUUUUGUCGCCUGAACUUUGAAUAUAAUUUUAAACUCUUCUCAAGUGCAUUUGCUUGGUAAGUUUCUGCAUACCCAGGACACUCAAACUUUGGACAGUCUGUAUCUUGAGUUGGAAUCUUUUCUGUCAAUACGACAUGUUAAAAUAAGGGUUAUUAUCGUUUGAAUCAUUCAAGAAUUGCAAUAAAUCUAAAGUCCAUAAAAAAAUAUGAUUCCAUCAUUUUACUAUUAUAUCUAGACAAAACCCAUUAUUUUACUACAUUUCAUUGGCACCGAUAGUUGACCUGUUGGCUGACUGAUAAAAUAUCAAUUUUGCACUUUAUAUUAAUUCUUUUUUGGUUAAAAAAUAACACACAAAGUAUUACAAUAUUAUAAAUUCAAAAUAUAAAGUAGUUACAAAUAAUUCCUAUUAGCCUAUGAAUAUAAUAUUUGAUACCUCUAUUUGUGUAAUUUUUUUCCAAUGGUGAAAUUGUUAUUUUUUUUGUACUAAUGGAAAUGUAGUAAAAUCAUAAGUUUUGUAAAGAUAUAGUAGUAAAAUGAUAGACUAAAAUACUUCUUGUAGUUGUUUGAUAUAUUGUAAUUCUUAAAGUAGUCAAUUGAUAAUAUCCCCUAAAAUAAAUGUUCGUAAUAUGUUCUCAUUUUAAUGCAACUGAUUGUUUAAUAAAAUUGUAUUUCUUUGUUAAUCUUUUAUCAUGUGCAUGCUCAGUGAGAAUUUGACUUACUAGAACACAAGUUUGACUCUUCAUUUAAAUGUCUCUUGUAUCAUAUCCUUCAAUGUUGAGUGUGAUUCCAAUAAAAUUGAGUAGGGAGAUCCUUAAAUACCUUUUCCUUUUUUCCAAGGGCCUGCCAAAUUGCUCUAAGUGGUUCUACCCUUUAUCAAUGAAUAAUGAAAAUAAAAUUUUUAUUAAAGCAUUUUGUUCCUUAAAUGGUGACUAAUAGUACCCCUUUUUUUUGGGGAGGAAAGCCAAACAUGCCCAAAGAGAAUCAUUUACUUUCCUCUAAUGUAUUUUCUAAUUCGUUUUGAGCCUUGAAUGUCUGUUUUGGUGCGUAUUCUCAUUCCAUGUUGAAUCUUAUCCACAUGGACAACCCCACUUACAAAAAAGUCUAAUGAAUCUAUUGAAGUUCAUAUGAGGUUUGUGCUUUAGAUUUAGAC